rnacentral:lncRNA from 1 species
GGCGCCUGCCUCAGCAGCAGCAACUGCGCCGGCGUCUGCCACACCGAGAGCUUCCCCGGCGGCGAGUGCCACACGCAGCACUUCGAGCGCAAGUGCUUCUGCAAGAGGGUCUGCUAGCCCGCCUGCUCGCCCCGGCCGCCCUGCCGGCCAGCGCCGAGACGUCCGAUCAUCCGUGCCGUGCCUCCACGUUCGUCAGUAGUAGUAUUUCUGUUCCGUGACGUUAGAUAGUUCAUCCGUGCCGUUAGCUACUUUUGUUCUGUUCGUCCGUGUGUCCCUCUUAGUAUAGAAUAGAACUAUAAUAAAGUAGAAAACCAAUCGGGGUCUCGGUUGUUUAGUUCGCUGUACGCCUGUUUGUGCCUGAUUUGUGUGUGGUGAUGUACUAAAUAUGGUCGUUAUUUCAGCAUGCAUGGACAUGUGCAAUGCAUCCCCCUCUCUCUCUAUGUGUAAAUAUGAUCGUGUUCAAAGAGAAAUGCUAUUAUUGUGACUACUACUCCCACCGUUCCUAAAUAUAAAACAUUUUAGAGAUUUCAACAUAGACUGCAUACGAAGCAAAAUGAGUGAAUGUACAUUCUAAGAUAUGUGUAUAUACAUCCGUAUGUAGUCUGUAUUGAAAUAUCUAAAUGGGCUUAUAUAUUUAGAAAUGGAGAUAGUAUAAGCGACGAGACAUUUUACGAAGCUGCCUGGCCAUUUCAUUUCUCUACAUGGACUGACGAAGAACUAUAUGUUGAGCAUUGACUUGUCAAAAAGAAACCAAGUUUUCUUUUUGCGCAAGUUUAACAUAACCCCUGCAAAAAAGAAAAAAAAGGAGCAUUAACAUGAGUAUGAAUCUCUUUUUUACUCAUGAACUAUCUUAUGCGAAUUUUUAUGUGCAUUGGGAUUUCAUUAAACCUGGUCUACAAAGCAUAUUUUUUCUACUUUUAAUAAAUAUUAAAUUGAACAUGAACAUAAAAAAACAUGCAUAGACCAACAUUUCCUUGGAAGAACAAUCUGGGUUGCAGAAGCCUCCAGAGUCUAACCGUAUGGAGAUAUUUUCGUAAAGCUCUCUGGAUACUCCUACAAGUAAUAAGGAAGUGUCAGUGACUUAGCGUGGGGUCUGGGGGCAAUAGGAGGAUGGAUAUACAUCCAUCCAAUCACACGAUAAGCAUAGACAAUGUAAGAUGUUUAGAGAGUUGUUCGAAUAAAUAAAUAAUUUUCUCUUAAACAUCAAUGCUUUUUUGAGGUGACUAAGUAGGCGUCUAUGCUAUACAGGUAAGUACUGGUGCUACAUAAAAAAUUGAUUCACUUUUACAAGCACCACUCUAAAAACUUUGUGUUGCACACGGUUUAACACGGACCACAAGGUAGGCAGCGCGAUAUACUCACAACUAGGACAAACUGUUUCGCGUGUCCGACAUCUUCGUCGGCCGCGAGCCCCGUAAAAUUUUGCAUGAAUAUAAAUAAAAAUUGUUUUGUUCCUUUGAUGUUAGAACAUGACUUUUAUUUUCUCUCUGAGAAUUAUCACAGUUACUUAUGUGAUAAAAGAAACAAAAAGUCUAUUAUAUUUAGCCGUGAAACAUGCACAUAUUAUUUAAAAGUCAUAUAGUUUAGGUAUCAAUGCCUGUUCUGUCCAUCUGCAUUAAUCACUAAUAGACGAAAACCCUUACAUGCAUGACCGGUCAAUCAAUUGGAAUUCUUUGUGCUUGUUGCCAAUCAUGCAAUGAUGGACUUCUUGUAACUAUUGAAGAUAACCUUUCCCUUAUCAUGAGAAACUAGGAAAAUGGUACACCAAGCGGAUUAUGACAUUCAUUUUAAUUGCAUUUCCUUCUAUAUUUUCUCAAAAUAUUAGGUCCGUACACGAUCAUUUUCCAAUCAGAAUUUCUUCUACUACACAUUGUGAGGAGUUUCCAAAUUACAAUUUCAAAUAUUGAAUCUAAUUUAGUGGCAUUUGAUUACAGAAUGCUACAUGGACUACAUAGUUUAUGAGAGGGCUUUCAGGAUACUAUGUUGUUUAAUUAGAACAUGAUCUGGCACCAUUUGAUCAGAGGAAGAAACUGGAAAAUGAAGCCGCUAGUAACUCUUCAUGGCCUUUAUUUGAAGUAAGAUAUCAUCCUUGUUGCUGCUUUCUUGCACGCUACAACUCACAUCCAUUCCUUUGUUUCUAAAUAAGACCUUCUACAAUACCUUAGCAAUUCAUUUAUCUGGUAUCGUCUUUGGUCUGUAGCAAGCGCUGCUCAGAGAGUUCCUGAUCUUGGUCAGCUAAGUAACGUUGGGAGGGGACGGUUUUCCUUUAAAGCUUGUUUGCAUGGGUUCUUUUCAUGCGGUUUUAUUUGGGAAUCGGCUAGUCGGCCAUUUUAGAGUUUUUCUCCAGGUUUUGCCUUUUACUCCUUUUUAGUAUCCGUUCCUUUAAAUCCAUCUCCAUCUCACAUCUCCAUCCAUACUAAUCCCUUCUCUAGUUCUUGUAGUAUUGCAAUGUGAUCCUUCUUCUCUACUUCUGUCUUCCAUUUUGUUUCUCUCUCCCUCUCGAUCUUAGGGCUUCCAGGUUAGUAGCAUUGAAGAACACACUUCAUUGCCUCGCUGGAGCAGGUUGGCUUCACAACAUGAAGCUCAUGGUUGUCGAGAACGUGCAACUCCGCUCUUCCACACCCUCCUACUGUCAACACAAAUCCAUUUUGGUCCUUUUCAAACUCCAUUAUCUGCUCUGCUUACGUGUGAGGUUGAGGAUGGCAGCUCCAUGAUUAAAGUAGUAUUAUGGCAAAUAUAACAACAUGCAUUAGGUGCAUUGGUCCUGCAUUGUUGACUAAGCGGAGUUAUGGUCUCAUUUGUGUUGAGCAGCUGGCCAACGAUACCCUUCAUCACAAGGAGUGACUGGAAAAUGUUGGCAACCAUUCAUUUCAGCAGGUAGCAUACAUCAGGCUCGUUUUUCCUUUUUAGGACCCAGCACUAUAUAUUCAUUGCAUACAGCAGGCCUGUGAGUGUUGCCUCGGACCUUGAUGGACGCUCCAUGGCGUGAUGCACUAUAUUCAUUGCCACCAACCAGUUUUGAUGGAUUCCAGCUAUAAUCUGUUCGGCCUGCCUGACGAGCAACAUGCAUAGUUUUAAACUAGCACAUAUGCUCGUGCGUUGCAACGACAAUGUACUACUUGACAUGUUCACCAAAAAAUUCAACAUCACGGCACGACAACAUUCAGGCGAUGCAUCCCGGCGGCAGCAAAGAGGCGGAGGCCAAGGUUUAGAACACAUAUAUACCAGACUCACAUUAAGAAUCAUAUAUACGAUACUUUGUGUUAUGAUUUUUGUAUGACAAGUCCGAUCAUAUUAUCCAUAAUAUAAUCAAAAUGCAGCAGAACCAUUAGAUUAUUUAAGGGCCGUACUCGCUCCGUUUUGCAUGCUUCACUGGGCAUUAAUUCCUUCACUCCCCACAGGUUUCUUCUUCUUAAUAAUUAUUCCCUUUAUUUUUAUAUACAAGGCCAUAAACUCAAAUUACAGGUAUCAAUAUAAAAUUUAAUGUCUGCUCUGAAAGUUAGCUUUUCUUUUCGUUUACUGUGAUCAUUAAUACCCCACUUGCAUGCAAGAAAACCGAGUAGAGGAAGUAGCUGAUUGUUAUUAUGACUGCAUGCAUGCAACUAUUAAACAUGUUGCUAGUACGAGAAAAUAUCAUUAAUUUUACCUUGAUUACUGUUGGUGGCCUUGUAUAGAUGCAGAUAUCGGGGAUUUCAAUCUCUUUUUCCAAUGCAUCAAAUUGAUCAUGGGCUUUGAGGCUUAAAGCAAAAUCAAUGUGUCGGUUCUACAAAAUAGGAAAGUAAAUUGAGUAUAAGAAAAAAAAUGUUCAAUAUACUCUUUUCAUAGCACAUACUUUAGGGACCCACUAGCUAUCCUUUUUUUCCUCACCAUGCAUUUUCCCCACUGAAACAUCCCGCUGCUCUUGUUUUUAUCUACGACAUGGCCCUUAUAGCGCAGAAGAUUCCUCUAGACUCAGUGCUUCAACAAGAACGAUGGUAAUACUUUUUAUCUUAGCAUGGCAUGAGCAAUGUUGGUCGACAUUGGGUGCUAAGGUUUCUUAGCACACACUCAUACUCGUGUUAAACAUUGGGGAAUGUGGUGCUAAGAUAAAAAGUAAAAGAGUCGGUUUUAGUUGAGGCACCACGUCUAAAGGCAUCUUUGACCCCUAUUGGGGCCAAUCUCAUAGCCAAAAUACAAGAAGAGAGGUAUGAAGAGUGCAUAGUAGAGGCAGCCCGCCUGAGGUUGAUCCAUGGAAUUUGCUUGGGUGUCUCACCCGGCAUAUUUUCCCUUGCAUGUACCCCACACGUCUACGACUACAUGGAGGACGACGUACCCGCCACUCUCAAGCUAGAUUGCUUCGAGAGUUCCUCAAAAUAUAUUGCGCGUGGAGGCUGUAGAUCUUGUUAGAGGCAUGCAUAGUUGGGUAUGAGUUGUGGUGCGCGUGCGUGAGUGUUGCGUGUGUGUUUUGCAUUUCAUCAGAUUCUACAAUUGUGUUCACAUGUUUUGACUAUUUCACUUGCCCAUAUAUAGCAAUGCCACUACCAAUAAUUAUCAUUGUGGUAAAUUAUUUGGAUUGCAGAGUGGUGUCACCUAAUGGGUUUAUUUCUUGAUUUGGUCAAAUUCCGCUCAUCGUUAUCUUUAUCUUUACCUAAUAAUAAAAGGGUGAUCGCUUCUUUCUCCUAAAUUUUCGUCCAUACAUCCGAUUUUUCGUCCUAGUCAGACUCGAUGAAGUCUCUCGAUCUUUUAAAUCCACGUUCUGUUCUUUCAAGCCCACUCGAAGGUGAACAGCCCACCAAUUUUUUCGGCCUACCCAGCCCAAUAGUGCAACAAAAAGUAGUGCGCAGAAUCGAACUUGCAAUCUCGUGCCCAACAAAUCAUGAUUCGACCAACUAAGCUAGCUCCCAUUGUGCUACAAUUGGAGGUUCAUAUAGAUUUUAAAUAGUCCCACAUCGCUCCCUUCAAUCCAAACUUCGUAAUUUAAAAAUAUCUUCGAGUUUCCUGGGUAUCAAGGAGCAGUUUCGGGAAUCAAUAAGGAAGGAAAUAAUAAGUUGUCCUGAUAAGAAAGUAAAAGAGAGGAAAAUUGAUGACCCACAAGUAUAGGGGAUCUAUCAUAGUCCUUUUGAUAAGUAAGAAUGUCGAACCCAACGAGGAGCAGAAGGAAAUGAUAAGCGGUUUUCACUAAGGUAUUCUCUGCAAGCACUGAAAUUAUCGGUAACAGAUAGUUUUGUGAUAAGGUAAUUGGUAACGAGUAGCAAGUAAUAAAAGUAAAUAAAGUGCAGCAAGAUGGCCCAAUCCUUUUUGUAGCAAAGGACAAGCCUGGACAAACUCUUAUAUGAAGGAAAGCGCUCCCGAGGACACAUGAGAAUUAUCGUCAAGCUAGUUUUCAUCACGUUCAUAUGAUUCGCGUUCGGUACUUUGAUAAUUUGAUAUGUGGGUGGACCGGUGCUUGGGUACUGUCCUUAAUUGGCAAACAUCCCACUUAUGAUUAACCCCCAUUGCAAGCAUCCGCAACUACAACCAAAGUAUUAAGGUAAACCUAACCAUAGCAUGAAACAUAUGGAUCCAAAUCGGCCCCUUACGAAGCAACGCAUAAACUAGGGUUUAAACUUCUGUCCGUCUAGCAACCCAUCAUCUACCUAUUACUUCACAAUGCCUCCCUCUAGUACCAAACAAUGGUGAAGUGUCAUGUAGUCGACGUUCACAUGACACCACUAGAGGGAUAACAACAUACAUCUCAUCAAAAUACCGAACGAAUAACAGAUUCACAUGACUACUAAUAGCAAGACUUCUCCCAUGUCCUCAGGAACAAACGUAUAUUUAUAUGUGAACCUCUCUUUCUUUAUUACUUCCUAUUAAUUGCAACGAUGGCCAAAACUAUGUUUGUCAACUCUCAACAACUUUUAUUCAUCAUACUCUUUAUAUGUGAGCUCAUUACUCUCCAUAAGAUCCAUAAGAUCUCUUUAUUUCUUUUUAUUUCUUCUCUUUUAUUUUAUUUAAUUCCCUCAAGAUCAUAUCAAAAUAAUAAAGCCCUUAACUCAACACUAAUCUUUAUUAUAUAGCUCACGGACUCGAUUAUAUAGAGGGAUCAUAAAGCAGAACUCACAACUAGAUCAUACUAAAACUUUAUUCUACUAGAUCAAGAUAUUACCAAAAGGAUCGAACUAAGAAAAACGGUAAAGAUAAAGUGAUGGUGAUACGAUACCAGGGCACUCCCCCAAGCUUGGCAGUUGCCAAGGGGAGUGCCCAUACCCGUGUGAUUAUGUCUCCUUCUUCGGGGGUGGUGAUGUGAUGUUCUUGGCGAUGAUGCCCCUCAGGAUACGAUUCUCUUCCUCGAUCUUGUCGACUUGCUGCUUGAGGCUCAUUAUUUCCUUACGGAGCUUGCCAGUGACGGCUAAAGCUCCUUUCACCCAAGGAUGUUGCAUAGCUGCGGGAGAACAAGUAACACUCUUUUUCAUAUUUUCAUAAGAAAGAAAUCUAACAUUGGAAGGGAUGACCGAGUUUGGAAUAGCCGAGCUCUGUAGUUCCCCCAUCGUGAAUCCUGCCCGGAAACGAGAAGUAACUUCUUGGUCUUCCUCCAUGGCAUCUAUCCUUUUCAAGGCAGCUUCCAUCUCUUCCCCCGUUGAGGGCCCAAAGUGAUAGGCAUCGCUGUUUGCCCCUAGACCUGGUGUUUGAUGAGACACCCGACUCUCCCCGACUUACUCUUGAGAAGACAUCUUGCUCUAAAUCUGCAGCAGAAACAGCUAAAACAAAGACAAGAGAUAUUUGCGCGAUACGGUGGUCAAAACCUUCGAGAGAUUAUAUAAUGAAUUUUUACCGACCAAAAAGAGUAUCGUGCAAGAAAACGGAGUCCAGAGAGCGCACGAGGUGCCCUCAAGGCAGGGGGCAUGCCCAGGGGGUAGGGCACGCCUCCCACCCUCGUGGAAGCCUCGUGUCCUUCCCGGACUGCUUCUUAUUUUCCUAUUUUUCUAAAUAUUCCAAAACAAAGAAAUAUUGCCACUAGAACUGUUUUGGAGUCGGUUUACUUACUGUACCACGUACCUAUUCCUUUUCGGAGUCUGAAACAUUUCAGAAAGUGUCCCUUAUGUAUUCCUCCGGGGUUACGGUUUCAAUAACAUUGGUUUCAACAUUUAUAGGAUUACCUGAGAUAUAGUGUUUAAUUCUUUGACCGUUCACCACCUUUGGAUUUGUGCCUUCGAAGUUGUUGAUUUUUAUGGCACCAGAACGAUAGACCUCCUCGAUAACGUAAGGACCUUCCCAUUUAGAGAGAAGUUUUCCUACAAAAAAAUCUUAAACGAGAGUUGUAUAGAAAUACAUAAUCACCUACAUUAAACUCACGCUUUUGUAUUCUUUUGUCAUGCCAUCUUUUAACUUUUUCUUUAAACAGUUUGGCAUUCUCAUAGGCUUGGGUUCUCCAUUCAUGCAGUGAGCUAAUGUCAAAUAACCUCUUCUCACCGGCAAGUUUGAAAUCAUAAUUGAGCUCUUUAAUAUCAUAGUAUGCCUUAUGUUCUAGUUCGAGAGGUAAGUGACAUGCUUUUCCAUAAACCAUUUUAUACGGAGACAUACCCAUAGGAUUUUUAUAUGCAGUUCUAUAGGCUCAUAAUGCAUCAUCAAGUUUCUUGGACCAAUUCUUUCUAGAUCUAUUAACAGUCUUUUGCAAAAUUAAUUUGAGCUCUCUGUUACUCAAUUUUACUUGACCACUAGACUGUGGGUGAUAAGGAGAUGCAAUUCUAUGAUUAACAUCAUACUUAGCAAGCAUUUUACGAAAAGCACCAUGAAUAAAAUGUGAACCACCACCAGUCAUUAAAUAUCUAGGGACUCCAAACCUUGAAAAAAUAACUUCUUUAAGCAUCUUAAUAGAGGUGUUAUGAUCAACACUACUAGUUGGAAUAGCUUCUACCCACGUAGUAACGUAAUCAACAGCAACUAAAAUAUAUGUAUACCCAUUAGAGGAAGGAAAUGGUCCCAUAUAAUCAAAGCCCCAAACGUCAAAUGGUUUAAUAACAAGUGAAUAAUUCAUAGGAAUUUCUUGACGUCUACUAAUAUUACCAAUUCUUUGACAUUCAUCACAAGACAAGACAAACUUACGGGCAUCCUUGAAGAGAUUAGGCCAAUAAAAACCGGAUUGCACCUUAUGUGCAGUUCUAUCUCCAGCAUGGUGUCCUCCAUAAGCCUCAGAGUGACACUUGCGUAGGAUCUAUUCUACUCCUUCUUUAUAAAGAUGUGGGUCAUCCCAAAAGUAAUGUCUCAAAUCAUAGAAGAACCUUUUCUUUUGCUGGUAUGUGAAACUAGGUGGUAUAAAUUUAGCAACAAUAUAAUUAGCAUAAUCAGCAUACCAUGGAGCAGUUCGAGAAGCAUUUAUGACAUUUAAUUGUUCAUCAGGAAAGCUAUCAUCAAUAGGUAGUGGGUCAUCAAGAACAUUCUCUAACCUAGGCAAGUUGUCUGCAAUGGGGUUCUCAGCUCCCUUUCUAUCAAUAAUAUGCAAAUCAAAUUCUUGUAGCAAGAGAACCCAUCUAAUAAGUCUAGGUUUAGCAUCUUUCUUUUCCAUAAGGUAUUUAAUAGCAGCAUGAUCAGUGUGAAUAUUUACUUUAGAAUCAACAAUAUAAGGUCUGAAUUUAUCACAAGCAAAAACAACUGCUAAAAAUUCUUUUUCAGUGGUAGCAUAAUUUCUCUGGGCAUUGUCUAGAGUUUUACUAGCAUAUUGAAUAACAUUUAAUUUCUUAUCAACUCUUUGCCCUAGAACAGAACCUACAGCAUAAUCACUAGGUUAGUCAGAAAUCAAUGCUUCCUUAAGUAUUUCAAAUGCUUCUACACAAUCAUCAUCAAAGACAAAAGGAAUAUCUUUUUGUAAUAGGUUAGUCAGAGGCCGAUAAAUUUUUGAGAAGUCCUUAAUGAACCUCCUAUAAAAACCGGCAUGACCUAGAAAACUUCUUAUACCUUUGAUGUCCUUGGGACACGACAUCUUCUCAAUAGCAUCAACUUUAGCUUUGUCAACUUCAAUACCUCUUUCAUAAAUUUUAUGCCCCAAGACAAUACCUUCAUUAACCAUAAUGUGGCACUUCUCCCAAUUCAAGACAAGAUUAGUUUCUUCACAUCUCUGCAAACUCAAUCAAGGUUGCUCAAGCAAUCAUCAAAAGAGGAUCCAUAAACAGAGAAAUCGUCCAUGAAAACCUCACAUAUCUUUUCACAAAAGUCAGAAAAUAUAGCCAUCAUGCAUCUUUGAAAGGUAGCAGGUGCAUUACAUAAACCAAAAGGCAUACGUCUAUAAGAAAAAGUACCGAAAGGGCAAGUAAAAGUGGUCUUUGCUUGAUCAUCAGCUGACACAGGUAUUUGAGAAAAACCGGAGUAACCAUCUAGAAAGCAAAAAUGUGUAUGUUUGGAUAACCUUUCUAGAAUUUGAUCAAUAAAAGGUAAGGGGUAAUGAUCUUUUUAGUAGCCUUAUUUAAUUUGUAAAAAUCAAUUUCCAUCCUAUAACCUCUAAUAAUUCUUUGCGAAAUCAAUUCAUCUUUAUCAUUAGAAACAACAGUAAUACCUCCCUUCUUAGGGACACAAUGGACAUGACUUACCCACUGACUAUCAGCAACGGGAUAAAUUACACCUGCCUCAAGGAGCUUUAAUGUUUCCUUUUUUACCACUUCUUUCAUCUUAGGAUUCAGCCAUCGUUGGUGAUCAAUAACUGGUUUGGCGUCUUUCUCCAAAUUUAUUUUGUGUUGACAUAGAGUGAGACUAAUGCCCUUAAGAUCAUCAAGAGUAUAUUGAUAACCCACAAGUAUAGGGGAACGCAAUAGUUUUCAAGGGUAGAGUAUUCAACGCAAAUUUAUUGAUUCGACACAAGGGGAGCCAAAGAAUAUUCUCAAGUAUUAGCAGCUGAGUUGUCAAUUCAACCACACCUGGAAACUUAAUAUCUGCAGCAAAGUAUUUAGUAGCAAAGUAAUAUGAUAGUAGUGGUAACGGUAGCAAAAGGUAACUGUAGCAAAAGUAAUGUUUUUGGUAUUUUGUAGUGAUGAUAGCAAUAGCAACGGAAAAGUAAAUAAGCGAAGAACAAUAUAUAGAAAGCUCGUAGACAAUGAAUCGUUGAUGGAGAAUUAUGCCGGAUGCGGUUCAUCAUGUAACAAUCCUAACAUAGGGUGACACAGAACUAGCUCCAGUUCAUCAAUGUAAUGUAGACAUGUAUUCCGAAUAUAGUCAUACGUUCUUAUGGAAAAGAACUUGCAUGACAUCUUUUGCCCUAUCCUCCCGUGCCAGUGGGGUCCUAAUCGAAACUAAGGGAUAUUAUGGCCUCCUUUUAAUAGAGUACCGGAACAAAGCAUAACACAUAAUGAAUACAUAAACUCCUCAAACUAUGGUCAUCACCGGUAAGUAUCCCAAUUAUUGUCACUUUGGGGUUAACGGAUCAUAGCACAUAAUAGGUGACUAUAGACUUGCAAGAUAGGAUCAAGAACUCUCAUAUAUUGAUGAAAACAUAAUAGGUUCAGAUCUGAAAUCAUGGCGCUCAGGCCCUAGUGACAAGCAUUAAGCAUAGCAAAGUUAAAGCAACAUCAAUCUCAGAACAUAAUGGAUACUAGGGAUCAAACUCUAACAAAACUAACUCGAUUACAUGAUAGAUCUCAUCCAACCCAUCACCGUCCAGCAAGCCUACGAUGGAAUUACUCACGCACGGCGGUGAGCAUCAUGAAAUUGGUGAUGGAGGAUGGUUGAUGAUGACGAUGGCGACGGAUUCCCCUCUCCGGAGCCCCAAACGGACUCCAGAUCAGCCCUCCCGAGAGGUUUUAGGGCUUGGCGGCGGCUCCGUAACGUAAAACACGAUGAAUUAUUCUCUAUGAUUUUUUUUCUCCCCAAAACCAAAUAUAUAGAGUUGGAGUUGAGGUCGGAGGAGCUCCAGGGGGCCCACGAGGUAGGGGGGCGCGCCCUAGGGGGGCAGGCGCGCCCCCACCCUCGCGGACAGGUGGUGAGCCACUGGCCUUCCUCUUUUGCAAGGAUUUUUUAUUAUUUCCGAAUAGAUGUUCUGUGAAGUUUCAGGUCAUUCCGAGAACUUUUGUUUCUGCACAUAAAUAACACUAUAGCAAUUCUGCUAAAAACAGCAUCAGUCCGGUUUAGUUCCAUUCAAAUCAUGCAAGUUAGAGUCCAAAACAAGGGCAAAAGUGUUUGGAAAAGUAGAUACGACGGAGACGUAUCAACUCCCCCAAGCUUAAAUCGUUGCUUUUCCUCAAGCAGUUCAUUUGAUAAACUGAAAGUGAUAAAGAAAAACUUUUACAAACUCUGUUUGCUCUUGUUGUUGUAAAUAUCUAAAGCCAGCAUUCAAGUUUUCAGCAAAGAUUAUGAACUAACCAUAUUCACGAUAAACCUUAGGUCUCAAGUUUACUCAUAUAAAUGGCAUAAUCAACUAGCGAGCAAUAAUAAUAAAUAUCGGAUGACAACACUUUCUCAAAACAAUCAUAAUAUGAUAUAACAAGAUGGUAUCUCGCUAGCCCUUGAUAUGUCUCCAACGUAUCUAUAAUUUUUGAUUGCUCCAUGCUAUAUUAUCUACUGUUUUGGGCAAUAUUGGGCUUUAUUAUCCACUUUUAUAUUACUUUUGGGACUAACCUAUUAACCGGAGGCCCAGCCCAGAUUUGCUGUUUUAUGCCUAUUUCAGUGUUUCGAAGAAAAGGAAUAUCAGACGGAGUCGAAACGGGACGAAAUCAACUAGAGAAGUUAUUUUUGGAACAAAAGCCACCCGAUGGACUUGGACCCCACGUCAAGGAAGGAAGGAGGAGCUCACGAGGGUAGGGGGCGCGCCCACCCCCUGGGGCGCGCCCCCUGCCUCGUGGGGCCCUUGUGGCUCCCCUGACGUGCUUCUUCUGCCUAUAUAACUCCACGUACCCUAAAACUUCCAGAACGCAAAAUAGAUCGGGAGUUCCGCCACCAGAAGCCUCCGUAGCCACCAAAAACCAAUCUUGACCCGUUCCGGCACCCUGACGGAGGGGGCAAUCCUUCUUCGGUGACCAUCUUCAUCAUCUCGGUGCUCUCCAUGAUGAGGAGGGACUAGUUCUCCCUCAGGGCUGAGGGUAUGUACCAGUAGCUAUGUGUUUGAUCUCUCUCUCUCUCUCUCUCUCGUGUUCUUGAGAUGAUACGAUCUUAAUGUAUCGCGAGCUUUGCUAUUAUAUUUGGAUCCUAUGAUGUUUCUUUCCCCCUCUUCUCUCUUGUAAUGAAUUGAGUUUCCCCUUUGAAGUAAUCGUAUCGGAUUGAGUCUUUAAAGAUUUGAGAACACUUGAUGUAUGUCUUGCCGUGGAUAUCUGUGGUGACAAUGGGAUACCACGUGCCACUUGAUGUAUGUUUUGGUGACCAACUUGCGGGUUCCGCCCAUGAACCUAUGCAUAGGGGUUGGCACACGUUUUCGUCGUGAUUCUCCGGUAGAAACUUUGGGGCACUCUUUGAGGUUCUAUGUGUUGGUUGAAUAGAUGAAUUGAGAUUGUGUGAUGCAUAUCGUAUAAUCAUGCCCACAGAUACUUGAGGUGACAUUGGAGUAUCUAGGUGACAUUAGGGUUUUGAUUGAUUUGUGUCUUAAGGUGUUAUUCCAGUACAAACUCUAGGGCUGUUUGUGACACUUAUAGGAAUAGCCCAACAGAUUGAUUGGAAAGAAUAACUUUGAGGUGGUUUCGUACCCUGGCAUAAUCUCUUCGUUCGUUAUCCGCUAUUAGUGACUUUGGAGUGACUCUUUGUUGCAUGUUGAUGGAUAGUUUUAUGAUCCAAUUAUGUUAUCAUUGUUGAGGGAACUUACACUAGCGAAAGUAUGAACCCUAGGCCUUAUUUCCACGCAUUGCAAUACCGUUUACGCUCUCUUUUAUCAUUCAUUACCUUGCUGUUUUUAUAAUUUCAGAUUACAAAUACUUUUAUCUACCAUCCAUAUACCACUUGUAUCACCAUCUCUUCACCGAACUAGUGCACCUAUACAAUUUACCAUUGUAUUGGGUGUGUUGGGGACACAAGAGACUCUUUGUUAUUUGGUUGCAGGGUUGCUUGAGAGAGACCAUCUUCAUCCUACGCCUCCUACGGAUUGAUAAACCUUAGGUCAUCCACUUGAGGGAAAUUUGCUACUGUCCUACAAAUCUCUGCACUUGGAGGCCCAACAACGUCUACAAGAAGAAGGUUGUGUAGUAAACAUCAGCCCUUUCUGAGACCGCAAAACAUAAAUGCAGAGCACCUUUAAAGAUCAAGGACUGACUAGACAUUGUAAUUCAUGGUAAAAGGGAUCCAGUCAAGUCAUACUCAAUGUAAACUAAUAGUAAUGAAUGCAAAUGACAGCGGUGCUCUCCAACUAGUGCUUUUUAAUAAGAGGAUGAUGACUCAAUAUAAAAGUAAAUAGAUAGGCCCUUCGCAGAGGGAAGCAAGGAUUUGUAGAGGUGCCAGAGCUCAGUUUUGAAUUAGAGAUGAAUAAUAUUUUGAGCGGUAUACUUUCAUUGUCAACAUAACAACCAAGGGAUGGCAAUAUCUUCCAUGCUACACACAUUAUAGGCGGUUCCCAAACAGAAUGGUAAAGUUUAUACCCCCCCUCCACCAACAAGCAUCGAUCCAUGGCUUGCUCGAAACAACGAGUGCCUCCAACUAACAAGAGUCCUAGGGGGAGUUUUGUUUGCAAUUAUUUUGAUUUAGUUUGCAUAAAGCAUGGGACUAGGCAUCCCGGUGACCAGCCAUUUUCUCAUAAGUGAGGAGCGGAGUCCACUCCUCUUGAGAAUAACCCGCCUAACAUGGAAGAUACGGACAGCCCUAGUUGAUACAUGAGCUAUUCGACCAUACAAAACAUGAUAUUUAUUUGUAGGUUUAGAGUUUGGCACAUACAAAUUUACUUGGAACGGCAGGUAGAUACCGUAUAUAGGUAGGUGUGGUGGACUCAUAUGGAAUAACUUUGGGGUUUAUGGAGUUGGAUGCACAAGCAGUAUUCCCGCUGAGUACAGGUGAAGGCUAGCAAAAGACUAGGAAGCGACCAGCUAGAGAGCGACAACAAUCAUGAACAUGCAUUAAAAUUAAUCAACACCAAAUGCAAGCAUGAGUAGGAUAUAAUCCACCAUGAACAUAAAUAUCGUGAAGGCUAUGUUGAUUUUGUUUCAACUACAUGCGUGAACAUGUGCCAAGUCAAGUCACUUAAAUCAUUCGGAGGAGGAUACCACCCUAUCAUACCACAUCACAACCAUUUUAAUAGCAUGUUGGCACGCAAGGUAAACCAUUAUAAGCUCCUAGCUAAUCAAGCAUGGCACAAGAAACUAUGAUCUCUAGUUGUCAUUGCAAACAUGUCUAUUCAUAAUAGGCUGAAUUAGGAACGAUGAACUAAUCAUAUUUACAAAAACAAGAGAGGUCGAGUUCAUACCAGCUUUUCUCAUCUCAAUAAGUUCAUCAUAUAAUCAUUAUUAUUGCCUUUCACUUACACGACCGAACGAUGUGGAUAAUAAUAAUAGUGCACGUGCAUUGGACUAAGCUGGAAUCUGUAAGCAUUCAAUAAACAGGAGAAGCCAAGGCAAUAUGGGCUCUUUUGUCAGAUCAACAAUAAUGCAUAUAAGAUCUACUUCAACAAUUUAAUUACGGUCUUCUCCUAUCGACCCCCAAAGAAAAGAAAAGAAAUAAAACUAUUUACACGGGAAAGCUCCCAACAAGCAAAAGAAGAACAGGAAAUCUUUUUGGUUUUUCUUUUUAAUUACUACUACAAGCAUGGAAAGUAAACUAAUUAAAAGCUACAACUAAUUUUUUCUGGUUUUUCUUAAAGUUUAUCAAACACACAAGAAGAGAGCAUAAAAAGGAAGUAAACUAGCAUGGAUGAUACAAUGAAAAAGUAUGAGCACCGACAUCUAGCAAUGAGUGUGUGAACAUGAAUAUAAUGUUGGUGAGGAAUACGUACUCCCCCAAGCUUAGGCUUUUGGCCUAAGUUGGUCUAUGGCCACGGCUGGCCUGGAGGAUAUCCAUAAUAAUAAUUGGGGUCGUACUAAGAUGCACCAGCUAUCGCCUCCUGAGCUGCAGCGUGGUGACGAGCGGCCUCCACCCUCCUCUCGUACUCAUCUGCCUCCUCUCUGGUAAUAACAUAUCUUCUUUUUGCCUGAUAAUCAAAGAAGGCAGGAGCAGGGAGAGUAAUACGGACAUCACAGCGUCUGUCAAAGAUUAAGCGAUACUGGAGAGGUGAUUCAUUCCUCUCGACAAACUGGUGGUGAACCAUAGCCUCAUAAUCAAAAUAAGCAGGAGGCAAUUCAAUAUCAUCUUCGCGUAUGGCUAUACCAAGAAAAUUAGCUAUGCGGGUUGCAUAAAUUCCACCAAAGAAAUCUCCAUUAAAUCUAUUAAGAUGCAACCUACGUGCAAGAAUGGCUCCCAAAUUAUAAGAUUUAUCUCCUAACACAUCACUCCUAAGAAUACUGAGGUCGGGGACACACAUGUGACAUUCCUCAUCUUUACCAUUAAUGCAUCUACCUAUGAAGAGAGCAAAAUAAUGUAUAGCAGGAAAGUGAAUGCUCCCUAUAGUAGCUUGUGUUAUAUCUCUAGAUUCCCCCACGGUUAUACUAGCAAGAAAAUCUCUAAAUUCAGAUUUGCGAGGUUCCCUGACACAACCCCAUUGUGGAAGUUUGCAAGCAGUGGUAAAAUCCUCUAAGUCCAUAGUGUAUGAAUUUUCAUAAAGAUCAAACAGGACAGUUGGAGAAUUACGUGAAGAUGAAAAUUCAAACCUCCUCACAAAGCAACUAGUGAGAUAAUGAUACUGGCUGCACUUUUCUUCCUCGAAGCUCACUAGAUCAGCGUUACGCAAAUACGCGUGAAAUUCUUCCUUAAUUCCUGCUCGAUCCAUAAAAUUUUCUAAAGGCCAUUCACAAGGAUGCACUGAAGCGUUUCUUGGUGGCUCAUCAUCAGCAUCACGCAUUGCAAGCCUGGGCUCUUCUUUCCUUGAAGAGCCACCUUGGUACAUUUUCCUAAACAUAUUUCUUCCUCUGAAAAAUUUCUGAAAUUUUUAGUAACUUCAAAAUAAAAGUGAACAAAGCUCAAUAAUAUUGAUAGAAACUACUCCUACAAGUGCCUAGAGCCUAUAUCAUGCAUCAAAACUACUUGGAACCAUAUAAAUUUGACAUGCAAGCUCAAGAAUAGGGCCACCUAAGCAGCACAAAUUUGCAAUGAAUAAAGCACUAGAACAUAAACUAAUUGGACCAAUGGAGGAGUCACAUACCAAGGAACAAUCUCCCCAAGCAGUUUUGUGAGAGGUGCUUUGAGCAAGGAGAUCGAAAAUGGCAGCAAAAUGAGCUUGGACUCGGGUUUGAGCUGGAUAUUCGUGUUUGUGGGAGGAAGAAGGAGUGUGUGGGUGCAAGGAUAAGUGGAAGAGGGCAUUUGGAGAACUUUUAUUUUCGAGGUAUUUUUAUAUUGCACGGAUAAAUCAGAUAACAGACAGAAAUAUACUAUUUUUAUUUUAUUUAAUAUAAAUAACAGAAAGUAAGAGGAGGGUACAGAGAGUUGUGUUUUCUAGUUUCAUCCAUCUCAUGAUCAUCAAAAGGAAUCCACUAACAAGGUUGAUCAAGUCUAGUUAACGAACUCAUUCCGAGUAACAUGGAACAGGAGAAAUUUCAAAUAACACUAUGUUACCUCAACGGGGAUAUGCACAUCCCCAAUAAUAAGAAUAUCAUAUUUCUUCUUGACAGUAGGAAGAGAAAAUUCAAAACCUCCAAAUAUAAUCGAUGGAAUUUUUCCAAUAGAGUUGAUAUUAUGAACUUGAGGUUAUUUCCUCAGAAAGUGUACCGUAUGCUCAUUACCAUUAACAUGAAAAGUGACAUUGCCUUUAGUGCAAUCAAUAACAGCCCCUGCAGUAUUCAAAAAGGGUCUUCCAAGAAUAAUAGACAUACUAUCGUCCUCGAGAAUAUCAAGAAUAACAAAGUCCGUUAAAAUAGCAAUGUUUGCAACUACAACAGGCACAUCCUCACAAAUACCGACAGGUAUAGCAGUUGAUUUAUCAGCCAUUUGCAAAGAUAUUUCAGUAGGUGUCAACUUAUUCAAAUCAAGUCUACGAUAUAAAGAGAGAGUCAUAACACUAACACCGGCUCCAAGAUCACAUAAAGCAGUUUUAACAUAGUUUCUUUUAAUGGAGCAUGGUAUAGUUGGUACACCGGGAUCUCCAAGUUUCUUUGGUAUUCCACCCUUAAAAGUAUAAUUAGCAAGCAUGGUGGAAAUUUCAGCUUUCGGUAUCUUUCUCUUAUUUGUAACAAUAUCUUUCAUGUACUUAGCAUAAGGGUUCAUUUUAAGCAUAUCAGUUAAUCGCAUCCGCAAAAAGAUAGGUCUAAUCAUUUCAGCAAAGCGCUCAAAAUCCUCAUCAUCCUUUUUCUUGGACGGUUUGGGAGGAAAAGGCAUGGGUUUCUGAACCCAAGGCUCUCUUUCCUUACCGUGUUUCCUAGCAACAAAGUCUUUCUUAUCAUAACGUUGAUUCUUUGAUUGUGGGUUAUCAAGAUCAACAGCAGGUUCAAUUUCUAUAUCAUUAUCAUUGCUAGGUUGGGCAUCAACAUGAACAUUACCGUUAACAUUAUCACUAGUUUCAGGUUCAUUACCAGAUUGUGUUUCAGCAUCAGAAAUAGAAAUAUCAUUUGGAUUCUCAGGUGUUUCAAUAACAGGUUCACUAGAAGCAUGCAAAGUCCUAUCAUUUUUCUUUUUCUUCCUUUUAGAAGGACUAGGUGCAUCUAUAUUAUUUCUCUGAGAAUCUUGCUCAAUUCUCUUAGGAUGGCCUUCAGGACACAAAGGUUCCUGAGUCAUUCUACGACCUCUAGUCAUAACUCUGACAGCAUUAUCAUUAUUCUUACUAUUCAAUUCAUUGAGAAAAUCAUUUUGAGCUUUAAGUACUUGUUCUACUUGAGUGGUAACUAUAGAAGCAUGUUUACUAAUAAGUUUAAGUUCACCUUUGACAUUAGCCAUAUAAUCACCCAAGUGUUCAAGCAUAUUUGAAUUGUAUUUCAAUUGUCUACAAAAAUAAGCAUCGAAGUAUUCUUGCUUAACCAUAAAUUUAUCAAACUCAUCUAAGCAUGGGCUAGCAAACUUAGUAAAUGGGAUUUCAGCUUUAUCAUAUCUAUAGAGAGAAUUUACCUUUACCACCUGUGUCGGGUUAUCAAGACCAUGAGUUUCUUCAAUAGGUAAUGGAUUAAGAUCAUAUGUUUCUUCAACAGGCGGUAAAUUAAGACCGUGUAUUCCUUCAAUAGGAGGUAAAUUCUUAACAUCUUCAACUUUAAUACCUUUUUCUUUCAUAGAUUUCUUUGCCUCUUGCAUAUCUUUAGGACUGAGAAAUAGAACACCCCUCUUCUUCGGAGUUGGUUUAGGAAUAGGCUCAGGAGUUGGCUCAGGAAGUGUCCAAUUAUUUUCAUUUGUCAACAUAUUAUUCAAUAGAAUUUCAGCUUCAUCCGGUGUUCUUUCCCUAAAAAUAGAACCAGCACAACUAUCCAGGUAAUCUCUAGAAGCCUCGGUUAGUCCAUUAUAAAAGAUAUCAAGUAUUUCAUUUUUCUUAAGAGGAUGAUCAGGCAAAGCAUUAAGUAACUUGAGAAGCCUCCCCCAAGCUUGUGGGAGACUCUCUUCUUCAAUUUGCACAAAAUUAUAUAUAUCCCUUAAAGCAGCUUGUUUCAUAUGAGUAGGGUAAUAUUUAGCAGAGAAGUAAUAAAUCAUAUCCUGGGGACUACGUACACAACCAGGAUCAAGAGAAUUAAACCAUAUCUUAGCAUCACCUUUUAAUGAGAACGGAAAUAUUUUACAGAUAUAAAAGUAACGAGUUCUCUCAUCAUUAGUGAACAGGGUGGCUAUAUCAUUUAAUUUAGUAAGAUGUGCCAUAAUAGUUUUAGAUUCAUAGCCAUGAAAAGGAUCAGAUUCAACCAAAGUAAUUAUAUCAGGAUCAACAGAGAAUUCAUAAUCCUUAUCAGUAACACAGAUAGGUGAAGUAGCAAAAGCAGGGUCAGGUUUCAUGCUAGCAUUAAGAGAUUGCUGCUUCCAUUUAGCUAAUAACCUCUUGAGCUCGUAUCUAUCUUUGCAAGCUAAAAUAGCUAAAGAAGCUUCUUUAUCAAAAACAGAACCUUUAUCAAUAAUGGGCAAGUCUUCAUCAUCACUUCCAUCAAUAUUAUCAGAUUCAAUAUUUUCAUUCUCUCUAACCCUAGCAAGUUGUUCAUCAAGAAAUUCACCAAGUGGCACAGUAGUAUCAAGCAUAGAAGUAGUUUCAUCAUAAGUAUCAUGCAUAGCAGAAGUGGCAUCAUCAAUAACAUGUGACAUAUCAGAACGAAUAGCAGAAGCAGGUUUAGGUGUCGCAAGCUUACUCAAAACUGAAGGUGAAUCAAGUGCAGAGCUAGAUGACAGUUCCUUACCUCCCCUCGUAGUUGAGGGAUAAAUCUUGGUUUUUGGAUCUCUCAAGUUCUUCAUAAUGAUAAGCAGAUAUAAAUCCCAAGUGACUCAAAGAAUAGAGCUAUGCUCCCCGGCAACGACGCCAGAAAAUAGUCUUGAUAACCCAAAAGUAUAGGGGAUCGCAACAGUUUUCGAGGGUAGAGUAUUCAACCCAAAUUUAUUGAUUCAACACAAGGGGUGCCAAAGAAUAUUCUCAAGUAUUAGCAGAUGAGUUGUCAAUUCAACCACACCUGGAAACUUAAUAUCUGCAGCAAAGUAUUUAGUAGCAAAGAAAUAUGAUAGUAGUGGUAACGGUAGCAAAAUAAUGUUUUUGGUAUUUUGUAGAGAUGAUAGCAAUAGCAACGGAAAAGUAAAUAAGCGAGGAACUAUAUAUAGAAAGCUCGUAGGCAAUGGAUCGAUGAUGGAGAAUUAUGCCGGAUGCGGUUCAUCAUGUAACAAUCAUGACAUAGGGUGACACAGAACUAGCUCCAGUUCAUCAAUGUAAUGUAGGCAUGUAUUCCGAAUAUAGUCAUACAUGCUUAUGGAAAAGAACUUGCAUGACAUCUUUUGUCCUACCCUCCCGUGGCAGCGGGGUCCUAAUGGAAACUAAGGAAUAUUAAGGCCUCCUUUUAAUAGAGUACCAGAACAAAGCAUUAACACAUAGUGAAUACAUGAACUCCUCAAACUUUGGUCAUCACCGGCAAGUAUCCCGAUUAUUGUCACUUUGGGGUUAACGGAUCAUAACACAUAAUAGGUGACUAUAGACUUGCAAGAUAGGAUCAAGAACUCUCAUAUAUUAAUGAAAACAAAAUAGGUUCAGAUCUGAAAUCAUGGCACUCAGGCCCUAGUGACAAGCAUUAAGCAUAGCAAAGUCAUAGCAACAUCAAUCUCAGAACAUAAUGGAUACUAGGGAUCAAACCCUAACAAAACUAACUCAAUUACAUGAUAGAUCUCAUCCAACCCAUCACCGUCCAACAAGCCUACGAUGGAAUUACUUACGCGCCGCAGUGAGCAUCAUGAAAUUGGUGAUGGGGGAUGGUUGAUGAUGACGAUGGCGACGGAUUCCCCUCUCCGGAGCCCCGAACGGACUCCAGAUCAGCCCUCCCGAGACGUUUUAGGGCUUGGCGGCGGCUCCGUAUCGUAAAACGUGAUGAAUUCUUCUGUCUGAUUUUUUUUCUCCCCGAAACCAAAUAUGUAGAGUUGGAGUUGAGGUCGGAGGAGCUCCAGGGGGCCCACGAGGUAGGGGGCGCGCCCCACCCUCGUGGACAGGUGGUGGGCCCCCUGGCCUUCAUCUUUCGCAAGGAUUUUUUAUUAUUUCCGAAUAGAUGUUCCGUGAAGUUUCAGGUCAUUCCGAGAACUUUUGUUUCUGCACAUAAUAACACCAUAGCAAUUCUGUUGAAAACAGUGUCUGUCCAGGUUAGUUCCAUUCAAAUCAUGCAAGUUAGAGUCCAAAACAAGGGCAAAAGUGUUUGGAAAAGUAGAUAUGACGGAGACGUAUCAUAUAUCCAAUAGCAGAACGGUGCUUCUUUAGAGUUUUCAAUAAUUUUUCUUCUUCAUGCUCUGAAAGGUUAGCACUAAUUAUAACAGGAUAUAUCUUCUUUUCAUCAAGAUAAGCAUAUUUAAGAGUAUCAGGUAAUGGUUUAAGCUCAAACACGGGAUCACCCUUGGGUGGAGGAGGAUCCCCUAGGAUUUCAACCGGCAAAUUGUGUUUCAGAAUGGGUCCUUGUUUAAAGAAUACUUCAUCUAUUUGCCUUUUUUCAUUCAUAAACAUAUAAUUUUCAUGGUCUAGCAAAUAUUGUUCUAAAGGAUCAGUAGGAGGCACAACAAUAGAAGCAAGACCAAUAAUUUCAUCUUUACUAGGCAAUUCUUCAUCACGGGGUUGCCUACGAAAUUUAGAAAAGUUAAACUCAUGAGACAUAUCAUCCAAACCAAUAGUAACAACAUCCUUCUUGCAAUCUAUCUUAGCAUUAACAGUAUUCAAGAAGGGUCUACCAAAUAUAAUGGGACAAAAGCUAUCUUGAGGGGAACCAAGAACAAGGAAAUCAGCAGGAUAUUUAGUUUCCCACACAAGACCUCAACAUCUCUAACAAUCCCAAUUGGUGAAAUUGUACCUCUAUUAGCAAGCUUAAUGGUAACACCGAUGUCUUCUAUCUCAGCUGGUGCAAUAUCAUGCAUAAUUUAUUUAUAUAUGGAAAUAGGUAUUGCACUAGCACUAGCACCCAUAUCACACAAGCCAUGAUAACAAUGAUCUCCUAUUUUAACAGAAAUAACAUGCAUGCCUACCACAGGUCUAUGUUUAUCUUUAGCACCAGGUUUAGCAAUUCUAGUAGUCUCAUCACAGAAAUAAAUAACAUGCCCAUCGAUAUUAUCAGCCAAGAGAUCUUUAACAAUAGCAAUAUUAGGUUCAACUUUAACUUGCUCAGGAGGUAUAUAAGUUCUAAUAUUACUUUUACGAACCACAGUUGAAGCUUUAGCAUGAUCCUUUAUUCUAACAGGGAAAGGUGGUUUCUCAACAUAAGCAGUGGGAACAAUAUGAUCAUCAUAAGUGAAAGUUUUUUCUUCAACUUUAAUAGGUGCAACUACUUUUGUUUCAAUGUGAGGAUUAUAUUUAAACCACUCUCCUUAGGGAGAUUAACAUGAGUAGCAAAGGAUUCACAGAAAGAAGCUACUAUCUCAGAUCAAGUCCAUAUUUAGUGCUAAAUAUACGGAAAACAUUGGUAUCCAUAAAAGAUUUAACACAAUCAAACUUAGGUGCGAUAACCCACAAGUAUAGGGGAUCGCAACAGUUUUUGAGGGUAGAGUAUUCAACCCAAAUUUAUUGAUUAGACACAAGGGGAGCCAAAGAACAUUCUCAAGUAUUAGCAGUUGAGUUAUCAAUUCAACCACACCUGGAAACUUAAUAUCUGCAGAAAAGUGUUUAGUAGCAAAGUAAUAUGAUAGUAGUGGUAACAAUAGUAAAAGGUAACGAUAGCAAGAGUAAUAUUUUUGGUGUUUUGUAGUGAUGAUAACAAUAGCAACGGAAAGGUAAAUAAGCGAAGAAUAAUAUAUGGAAAGCUCGUAGGCAAUGGAUGGUGAUAGAGAAUUAUGCCGGAUGCGGUUCAUCAUGUAACAGUCGUAACCUAGGGUGACACAGAACUAGCUCCAGUUCAUCAAUGUAACGUAGGAAUGUAUUUUGAAUAUAGUCAUACGUGCUUAUGGAAAAGAACUUGCAUGCCAUCUUUUGUCCUACCCUCCCGUGGCAGCAGGGUCCUAUUGGAAACUAAGGGAUAUUAAGGCCUCCUUUUAAUAGAGUACCGGGCCAAAGCAUUAACACAUAGUGAAUACAUGAACUCCUCAAACUACGAUCAUCAUCGGUAAGUAUCCCGAUUAUUGUCACUUCGGGGUUAACGGAUCAUAACAUAUAAUAGGUGACUAUAGACUUGCAAGAUAGGAUCAAGAACUCUCAUAUAUUGAUGAAAACAUAAUAGGUUCAGAUCUGAAAUCAUAGCACUCAGGCCCUAGUGACAAGCAUUAAGCAUAGCAAAGUCAUAGCAACAUCAAUCUCAGAACAUAGUGGAUACUAGGGAUCAAACCCUAACAAAACUAACUCGAUUACAUGAUAAAUCUCAUCCAACCCAUCACCGCCCAGCAAGCUUACGAUGGAAUUACUCAUGCACGGCGGUGAGCAUCAUGAAAUUGGUGAUGGAGGAUGGUUGAUGAUGACGAUGGCGACAGAUUCCCCUCUCUAGAGCCCCGAACGGACUCCAGAUCAGCCCUCCCGAGAGAGUUAGGGCUUGGCGGCGGCUCCAUAUCGUAAAACACGAUGAAUCCUUCUGCUUGGUUUUUUCUCUCCGAAAGUGAAUAUAUGGAGUCAGGGUUGAGGUCGGUGGAGCGUCAGGGGGCCCACGAGGCAGGGGGCGCGCCUAGGGGGGUAGGGCGCGCCCCCACCCUCAUGGACAGGUGGAGCCCCCCCCCNNNNNNNNNNNNNNNNNNNNNNNNNNNNNNNNNNNNNNNNNNNNNNNNNNNNNNNNNNNNNNNNNNNNNNNNNNNNNNNNNNNNNNNNNNNNNNNNNNNNNNNNNNNNNNNNNNNNNNNNNNNNNNNNNNNNNNNNNNNNNNNNNNNNNNNNNNNNNNNNNNNNNNNNNNNNNNNNNNNNNNNNNNNNNNNNNNNNNNNNNNNNNNNNNNNNNNNNNNNNNNNNNNNNNNNNNNNNNNNNNNNNNNNNNNNNNNNNNNNNNNNNNNNNNNNNNNNNNNCCAGUAUUUUUUAUAUAUUCCAAAAUAAUUCUCCAUUGAUUUUCAUGUUAUUCCGAGAACUUUUAUUUCUGCACAAAAAUAACACCAUGGCAAUUCUGCUCAAAACAUCGUUAGUCCGGGUUAGUUUCAUUCAAAUCAUGCAAGUUAGAGUCCAAAACAAGGGCAAAAGUGUUUGGAAAAGUAGAUACGACGGAUACGUAUCAACUCCCCAAGCUUAAACCUUUGCUUGUCCUCAAGCAAUUCAGUUGAUAAACUAAAAGUGAUAAAGAAAAACUUUUACAAACUCUGUUUGCUCUUUUUUUUGUAAAUAUGUAAAGCCAGCAUUCAAGUUUUCAGCAAAGAUUAUGAACUAACCAUAUUCAUAAGAAUAUUUAGGUCUCAUGUUUACUCAUAUCAAUGACAUAAUCAACUAGCGAGCAAUAAUAAUAAAUCUCGAAUGACAACACUUUCUCAAAACAAUGAUGAUAUGAUAUAACAGGAUGGUAUCUCGCUAGCCCUUUCUAAGACCGCAAAACAUAAAUGCAGAGCACCUUUAAAUAUCAAGGACUAACUAGACAUUGUAAUUCAUGGUAAAAGAGAUCCAGUCAAGUCAUACUCAAUGUAAACUAACAGUAAUGAAUGCAAAUGACAGUGGUGCUCUCCAACUGGUGCUUUUUAAUAAGAGGAUGAUGACUCAACACAAAAGUAAAUAGACAGGCCCUUCGCAGAGGGAAGCAGGGAUUUGUAGAGGUGCCAGAGCUUGGUUUUGAAAUAGAUAUGAAUAAUAAUUUGAGUGGUAUACUUUCAUUGUCAACAUAACAACCGAGAGAUGACGAUAUCUUCCAUGCUACGCACAUUAUAGGCGGUUCCCAAACAGAAUGAUAAAUUUUAUACUCCCCCUCCACCAACAAGCAUCAAUCCAUGGCUGGCUCGAAACAACGAGUGCCUCCAACUAACAACAGUCCCGGGGGAGUUUGGUUUGCAAUUAUUUUGAUUUGAUUUGCAUAAAGCAUGGGACUGGGCAUCCUGGUGACCAGCCAUUUUCUCGUGAGUGAGGAGCGAAGUCCACUCGUCUUGAGAAUAACCCGCCUAACAUGGAAGAUACGGACAUCCCUAGUUGAUACAUGAGCUAUUCGAGCAUACAAAAUAGAAUGUUUAUUUGAAGGUUUAGAGUCUGACACCUGCGCCGACAUCAUCGAGACGGCCCAGCGUGCAAGCCUUACGCCGGUUCAGCCCGCACCAAGGCAUGUUUUCGUAGGUGUCAUCCAUGGAGCGGAAUAUGAGGAUGGACCGGCAUCUGAUGGGGAAGCUCUUGUCUGUUCUGAUGAUGAGUCUUCAACCGGAGAAACCGAGUCGCUAUAUCUGCUGUAGGACGACCGGGUUAGUGGGAGUUUCGUGGGCAACAGUAUUCCGGACCUCCUCGAUCUGCCAAGACGGGUCGCGGUCUUCAUGGCUGGUACACAACUAGCACAUCACUCUUCUAACACCACGGUGAUCUUCUCCGGUUCAGCAAUAGCAACGCCAGCAGGAGCAGGGGGCUCUACGCCGCCUCCCGCUCAGGUUUUGUCUGAUUUGUUCGAUGCUUUGGCAACAUUGAUGUCCUCGGAGGUGGACGCGGCAGCCCGAGAUCAACACAAUGCGGAGAUUGCAAAGGUGAAAGAUCAAAUAACUCAGGCUAAAGCGGACCUGGCAGCAGAGAACGCCAGGAUGGCUACAGAACGUGCCGAGUUGGCAGCUCAGGCCUACCGGCUUAGGUUGGACCAGAAUGCCUCAAAUGAGGUCAUGAGAAGGAGAUACCGGUCGCACCUCCCACCAGGUUAUGAGCCAAGAAAUCUCUUCAACAAGCCAGGAGCCGGAACCAGUAACCAGCCAGUGGUUAACCGGACGGAGGCGUCGGGAACAGAAGCGCCGGUUCAACCACGCACGAUGAACUCGCCUCGUCAGAACAACGUUGUGCCGCAGUAUGUUCCGAUGCCCCCAGGGCAUUACUCCAGCCCGUUGGACAACAUUAUGGCCGCUGCUUGAUGAUUGGCAGCCCUCCCAACUGACGGCGAGUCACCAGUGGUGAUUGAGACACGACGGGCUAGAGAGCUCCUUCAAACAACUUUAAACCAGCAGCAGGCUUAUUCGCAUAGUCACGAGAGGAUUCAUUCCACCCCCCGUCCGAGUCGAAGCUACAGCAGGCACGUUGAGGAUGAACCGACCGUAUCAAGCAGUGUACGUCACCAUAACUCGCCGCGAGGACACAACCCGGCAGGUGGUGGUGCUAAUGCGCAUGAUGUGGUGGAUCAUGGUCGUGCACGUCGAGAAGCCGAGUUGGCAGCUCUGCACGCCGCUCGUCAACCUACUCCGGUUCGCCCCACCACCUCAGUGGAGCCCGGCGUGGUAUUGAGUUCUUUAGGGGUGCCGUGUCUUACCCCCACUUUGCGUAAUGUAUGACUGCCCAAGGAUUUAAAGGGACCUCGUAAGGUGCCCAAUUACACUGCCGAUUUGCAACCGGAGUCAUGGGUGGAGAGUUAUGAGAUGGCGAUGGAGAUGCUGGAUGUGGAUGAAGCAGUGUGUGCUAAAUACUUCACCAUGAUGUUGGAGGGGACAACUCGAACUUGGUUAAAGAGCUUACCAGCUAACUCUGUCGGGUCAUGGGCUGAGUUAAAACACCGGUUUGUCCAGAAUUUCAAAGAUACAUGUAAGCAGCCUAUAUCAAUUAUGGACCUAGCCGCUUGUGUUCAAGAGGAGGGAGAGUCUACGAUGCAUUGGGUAAAGCGAGUCUCAGCUAUUUUGCAUUCAUCAGACCGCAUCAAUGCGGAUACAGCAAUUUUGACAUUGGAGGGCAACUGCCGGUUUACGCCAUUAAAAUUAAAGCUAGGGAGGCUCAAAUGUCACUGCAAUGACAUGUCAACCCUUAUGGCUGCUCUGGUGAAAUACGCCGAUUCAGAUAGUACCAAAGACCCUGAGUCUGAGGAUGAAAAACCGGGGAAAGGGAAAAAGAAUAGCAAUACCAAGGGGCAGCAGCACAAUCCGGCAGGUCAUGGAAAUAACGGUAAGCGCAAGGCAGACAAUAGUUUGGACUUCGUGGCUAACACCAAUGCGCAGGACAACGGUCAACGUCGUAAGGGUAAACAGCCCCAGAGGGACGGAGGGUCAGGACCCAAUCUGGAGUGCCUGUUAAAUCAACCUUGUCUAAAGCACGAAUCGAAAGAAAGACCCGCUUCACAUCUUUGAAAGGAUUGUUUCAUUAUGCAGGAGAUUAAGAAUUCCAAUAUGUUUCAAUAUGACAACAGCCCGCCCGGCGGUUCAGGAGGCGGUUUUCAUGGGCUGAGUUACGGAGGUGGCAGCUCCGGUUCAGGAUUCCAAGGUAAUCAAACCGAACAUGGCCAUCAAGGGAACCAGGGCAAUCAAGGAGGUUAUAACCAUCAGGGGAAUUAGCAGCAGCAGUCGGGUUAUCAGAGCAAUCCGAAGCAGUUGAAUAGUGGGCAGUAUCAUGUCUUCACCACUAGCUUGUGCAAGCGUGAUCAGAAGCUUCACAAGAGGGCCGUGAACUCUGUUGAACCGGCAGUGCCUCAAUAUUUGCGCUGGUCUAAGCAACCAAUUUUAUGGAGUCGGGAGGAUCACCCACCCCGGGUUGAUAAUUCGGGUCAUCUGGCCUUAGUGGUGGCACCUCAAGUUGGGGGGUAUAAGUUCACCAAAGUGCUCAUGGAUGGUGGAAGUAGUAUCAACAUCCUUUACUAUGAUACCUUCCGUCGUAUGGGGUUGACAGAUAAGAAUCUUAAACCGUCGAACGCCAUUUUCCAUGGUGUGGUGCCCGGAAAAUAUGCGUAUCCUGUGGGUAAGAUAGCCCUAGAAGUGGCCUUUGGAGAUGAUCAUGAUUCAAGGUCAGAAACAUUGACUUUUGAGGUGGUGAAAUCAAGAGUCCGUAUCACACCCUGUUUGGGCAACCGGCUUAUGCCAAGUUCAUGGCGAGGACGUGUUAUGUUUAUCUGGAGCUUAAGAUGCCAGGUCAUAAGGGGACCAUCACAGUACAUGGGAGCAGGAAGAUUGCUUUGGAAUGUGAGGAAGGUGAUGCGGCUUACGCUGAGUCAGUUUGUGCCACAGAAGAGCUGAAGUUUUAUAAAGAUAAGGUUGAUCCGGCAGACAUGACUUCUUUGAAAAAGCCAACUAUGGAGCACGAUCCGGCGUUGAAGUUUAAAUCGGCCACAGACACUAAGAUGGUUGAUUUUGUUCCUGGCGAUUCAACCAAGCAGUUCAGCAUCAGCGCUAACAUGGAUCCCAAAUAGGAAAGCACGCUCAUCGAGUUCAUCCGUGAGAACCGGGACAUCUUUGCAUGGAAGCCUUCUGACAUGCCAGGUGUACCGAGGGAACUCGCUAGGCACAGACUUAAUAUAGAUCCUAAGUUUAAACCGGUCAGGCAGUUUCUUCGCUGCUUCAACGAAGAAAGGCGUAAGUCUAUUGGUGAGGAGGUAGCUCGGCUGUUGGCUGCAGGGUUUAUCGUGGAGGUUUUUCACCCUGAACGGUUAGCUAAUCCGGUGCUGGUUCUUAAGAAAAAUGGCACUUGGCAUAUGUGUGUGGACUACACAGAUUUGAACAAAGCUUUUCCAGCAGAUCCCUUUGCCCUCCCUCGCAUUGAUCAGAUUAUUGAUGCUACGGCGGGUUGUGACUGUUUGUGUUUUCUGGAUGCUUACUCUGGUUAUCAUCAGAUCAAAAUGGCAGAUAAGGACCAAGAGAAGACAGCUUUUAUAAUUCCCUUUGGAGCCUUCUGCUAUGUCUUCAUGCCCUUUGGGCUCAAGAGUGCCCAGGUGACUUAUCAGGAUGUGUUCAGAAUUUUCUUCAUAAACAGAUUGGGCGCAAUGUUUGUGCAUAUGUGGAUGAUAUUGUGGUGAAGUCCAGGAAGAAGGAAACAUUGAUAUAUGACUUGAGGGAGACUUUUGACAACCUCCGGGUUUAUAAGAUGAUGCUUAAUCCGGACAAAUGUAUCUUUGGUGUUCCAACAGGCAAGCUCCUGGGUUUUCUGGUGUCAAACAGGGGCAUUGAGCUUAAUCCAGAAAAGAUUUCAGCAGUCACAUCCCUGGCCAAACCGGCGUGUAUCAAUGACGUUCAACGUUUAGCCGGCCGGAUUGCGGCUUUGAGCCGGUUUAUUAGUCAUCUCGGGGAGAAAGCUAUUCCUUUAUAUUAGAUGCUAAAGAAAACGGAUGAUUUUGUAUGGAGUGAUGCGGCUGAUAAAGCAUUUUAGGAUUUGAAGAGGCAGUUAGCUGAACCGCCUGUCCUUGCGGCUCUGGUCGACAAAGAGCCUUUACUUCUAUAUGUGGCUGCUAAUGCCCGGGCUGUUAGUGUGGCUAUUGUUGUGGAGCGCAAGGAGGCUGGAAAGGAGUAUCUGGUUCAACAGACGGUUUAUAAUAUCAGUGAGGUGCUUAUCGAAUCAAAGCAGAGGUAUACGCAUUGGCAGAAGCUGGUGUAUGGGGUGUUUAUGGCAAGCCGGAAGCUCAAACAUUAUUUUCAGGGUCAUCCUAUCACAAUGGUCAGUUCAACCCCUCUAGGAGAUAUCAUUCAAAACAGAGAAGCAACUAGCCGGAUUGCCAGGUGAGCUAUUGAGCUUGGACCUCACGGGCUCAAGUAUACACCUUGCAGAGCGAUCAAAUCUCAAGCACUCAUGGACUUCAUCAAUGAUUGGACAGAGUUGCAGGCACCAGAGGAAAAGCCAGACAAUACUUAUUGGACUAUUCACUUUGAUGGGUCCACGCAAUUGGAUGGCUCGGGGGCUGGAGUCAUAUUAACUUCCACAUGAGGUGACAAGUUUUGUUAUGUUCUUCACUUAAUGUUCCCUUGUACUAACAAUGCAGCUGAGUACGAGGCCUUACUCCAUGGUCUUCGGAUGGCUAAGGAGAUGAACUUAAGCCGGGUUAAGUGCUUCGGUGACUCGGACCUAGUGGCUCAACAGGUACCUGGCACUUGGGAUUCUAAGGACCCACUCAUGGCUGCAUAUCGAUGAGAGGUGGACAUAGUGGAUGGUCAUUUGAAGGGUUAUCAAGUUGACCAUAUAGACCGACGAAAGAAAGAAGUGGCGGAUGCUCUAAGUCGCCUAGGCUCUCGGCGUAAACCGGUGCCACCUAAUGUCUUCCUCGACGUACUGCAUAAUCCGUCGGUCAAGAUACCCACAGAGGAGGAGUUGGCUAUUCCUGACCCAAAUGCCCAAUUGGUGGCAGCUUUGCAUGUUAUAGCGGAUUGGACAGUCCCGUACUUGGCUUACAUGAACCGGGGCGAGUUACCGGAGGAUGAAACCUUGGCCCGGCAGAUAAUCCGGCGAUUCAAGUCAAUGACCAUUAUCAAUGGGGAGUUACAUCAUUACAGCGUUACAUGAGCAAUUCAGCGUUGUGUGUCUCCUCAAGAGGGUUGUGAGAUUUUGCGAGAAAUCCACGAAGGAGAUUGUGGUCAUCACGCCAGUUCAAAAUCCUUGGUGGCUAAGGCUUUUUGUCACGGCUUCCAUUGGUUGACAGCUCAUGCUGAUGCUGAGGAUUUAGUCAAAAGGUCUGACGGUUGUCAAAAAUUUCCAUGUCGCGCUCAUGUUCUGGCUCAAGAGUUGAGAAUGAUUCCAAUCACUUGGCCGUUUGCAACUUGGGGCCUCGAUAUGGUUGGACCCUUUAAGAGAUCCAAGGACAAAAAGACCCACCUGUUAGUGGAAGUUGACAAGUUUACCAAGUGGGUGGAAGCAAAGCCAGUAAGUAAGUGUGAUGCAGCCACAGCGGUUCAAUUCAUCAAAAAGGUGAUAUUUUGGUUUGGUUUCCCACAAAGUAUUAUAACUAAUAAUGGUACUAAUUUGUCAAAGGGUGAGAUGGAGGAAUUUUGCCAACGUGAGCACAUCUGGCUUGAUGUAGCGUCAGUGGCUCACCCCCAGUCUAAUGGUCAAGCAGAGAGGGCAAAUCAAGAAAUUUUGAGAGGUAUCAAAUCCCAGCUUAUGGUUCCUUUAAAGCGGACACCAGGUUGUUGGGUGGAGGAGUUACCUUCUGUGUUAUGGAGUAUCAACACCACACCAAACAGAUCGACGGGUUAUACACCUUUCUUCAUGGUUUAUGGAGCAGAGGCAGUUCUUCCUAGUGACAUCCGUCAUGACUCGCCCCGUGUGGCAGAUUAUGUUGAAGCUGACAAUGAGAAGGCACGUCAGGACUCACUGGACCUAUUAGAUGAGGAACGUGAUCUCGCAGCGGCACGUUCGGCGAUUUAUCAACAAGAUCUCCGGCAUUAUCACAGCCGCCGGGUUAAAACCAGAACUUUUCAAGAGGGUGACCUGGUGCUCCGGCUCAUCCAGGAUCAAACUGAUAUGCACAAGUUAUCCCCACCUUGGGAAGGACCUUUUGUGGUCAGCAAAAACCUACACAACGGGUCAUACUACCUUAUCGAUACUCGAGAGCACAAAGACUCACGUAAAUCAGAGGAGGAGACAAAGCGGCCAUGGAAUAUAGCCCUUCUUCGCCUUACUAUACUUGAGCCACAGGUUCUUCUUAUGUACAUACUUAUGACAAUGUAUAUAUUAUACAAUAAACCGGAGCCUCGACUAAAGCGGGGUCUCUGUUCCUUUUUACAUCAUGUGUGGUUUCACAGGGGUUUCUACUGACAAAGCGGAGUUUUAUUAACCCGGCCGAUAAGGCCACAUAGAUAUAAAGAAAGUCACUAGGGGGCUUGGUCGUAUUCAAACCAUAGCCACACCUCUUGAUCGGUUUAAAACCAAAAAGGGAUAUCACUAGGGGGCUUGGUCGUAUCCGAACCAUAGCUACACCUCUUGAUCAGUUUAAAACCAAAAAGGGAUAUCACUAGGGGGCUUGGUUGUUUUCACACCAUAGCUACACCUCUUGAUAGGCUUCAAGCCAAAAGCAAAUUAUGUGGAACCAAAGAGAGUCUGUUGCAUCAAGCACAACUCAAACAUAGGUAACCACUGAGCACAGCUCAAAUAUUACCUGGGGGCUCCUUGCUUCUCAAAGAACAACGAGCUUGCACCCUUGUAAUAGGCUAUCAAGCCAGGCUUGGAAGCUAGGUGUAUUCACCUAAAACCCCGGGUUAUGCUGCUUCUUUAAGUAAGCCACUCCGUCCAGGUAAACCUGGUAUGACCCAUCGAACGUUUGACAAGUCAAUCUCAUGGACCCUGAACUUGUCAAAGUUAAAACGGUGAUUGGUUAAAGAUUGAGGUCCAUCUUAAAAGGCUUUGCACAAUGGUUUAACUCAGCGGCUUGGCAGCCCAUGAAAAGCCUCGAUUUAGGGCCUGGCAGCCCAUGUCAUCGAAACCCCAUCAAUUCCAUCGCAACUAGACGUACGCUUUUACCUUCAUUGAAGGGGCCGAACUAGUAUAAACUCUCUUGCGUCCAUGUGUCCACUUUAACCCCUUCAAGCUAACCCGUCGCGAUGGCUCCACGACUAAGUCCUUUAUCUAGGACAUCUACCGUGACAAAACCACGACAGUUGGCGCCCACCGUGGGGCUAUCGCACGAUGGUUUCCGGUUCUUGGAGGGCCGCUUUGAAGGACUUGAGGGCUACGCUCUAGGCCGGAUGACUAAGAGUCAUCGCGGCAAGCUCUACAUCGACGACGCGGGCUGGGGCCCAGAGGCCGGCUCAAUUGAGUACGGGUACCGGGUCCCCUUUGGUAGCAUUCACGUUUUCAUUGGCAAGAUCGGUGAACCGGGCCCUGAGCCGGACAUCUGCACCGACCUCGUCGAGACGGCUCAGCAUGCGCGAUCCGCCUGGGUUAAACCUGCCAUGAAGCGUGCCUUCGUGGGAGUCAUCCAUGGAGGAAGUUAUGAGGACGGAUCGUAAUUUUGCGGCGUGACCGUCGUUUGCUCCAGUGACGAAUCUUCGACCGGAGGAACCGAAUCUCUUUAUCGGCUACAAGAUGGCCAUAUUGGGAGCUGUUCCGAUGGCGACAGUAUUCCGGACCCCUCUGAUCUGCCCAACCGGGUUGGAAUAUUCAUGGUCGGAACACAAGCAUCGCUUCAUUCUUCGACAGCUGCGGCAACGAUCUCCGGUUCAGCAGCGGCGACGGCUGCCGGGGCAGGAGGCCCUGUGCGCCCGCCGGCUCAGGUUCUAUCAGAACUAUUUGAUGCGUUGGUUGUGCUUAUGGCGGAAGUUAAUCCGCCGGAUCAGGACGUUCACAAUGCGGAGAUUGCAAAGGUAAAGGAACAGAUCACCCAGGCCAAGGCGGAUCUGGCGGCUGAGGACACCAGGAUGGCCGCAGAGCGGGCCGCUUUAGAUGCACAGGCUUACGGGCUUAUGUUGGACCAGAGUGCGUCGCAUGAAGUCAUGAGGAGGAAGCACCGAUCCCGCUUACCUCCGGUUUUCGAGGCCAGAGACCUUUUCAACACUCCAGGACCAAGAGCCGGCAAUCCGCUGGAGGGAAACCGGGCAGAAGCCCCUGGGACCGGUGCGCCGGUUCAGCCUCGUCAGAUGGACCCGCCUCGUCAAAACACCGUUAUACCUCAGGCUGCUUUAACACCGCCGGGUCACUACUCCAACCCAAUGGACAAUCUUGUUGCCGCCGCUGCACGGCUGGAGGCCAUUCCAAUUGAAGGUGACUCGCCGCAGGCAGUAGAGACGGGACGGGUCAAGGAACUUCUAAGGACAGCUUUGGCCCAACAGGAAGUGUACUCGUACAGCCGCGACCGGAUCCACUCGACCCCCCGUCCAAGCCAGAGUUAUAGCAGACAUAUGGAUGAACCAGCAGUGUCAAGUAAUGAAUGAUGUGGGGCACCCCGUGACAACAACCCGGCGGGUGGUGCUGAUAACACUCAGGAAGUGGUGGACCGGGCCCGCGCGCGCAGGGAGGCCGAGUUAGCCACACAACAUCAGGCUCGGCAGCUCACGCCGGUUCGUCCAACCACCUUGACUGAACCUGGCGUUACUUCUAGUUCUUUGGGGGUGCCUUGCCUUAUCCCCGCUUUACGCAACGUGCGCCUGCCCAAGGAUUUCAAAGGCCCGCGCAAGGUACCCAAUUACACGGCGGAUCAACCUCCAGAGACAUGGGUGGAGAGCUAUGAGAUGGCCAUGGAAAUGCUUGAUGUGGAUGACGCGGCGUGUGCGAAAUACUUCACCAUGAUGCUUGAAGGAACGGCCCGUACUUGGUUAAAAAGCUUGCCGGCUAAUUCUAUCAGUUCAUGGGCCCAGUUACGAGCCCAGUUUAUCAGCAAUUUCAAGGAUACCUGUAAACAGCCUAUGUCGAUAGUGGACUUAGCUGCAUGCGUCCAGGAGGAAGGAGAAUCAACGACUCAUUGGGUGCGCCAAGUUUCACAAGUGUUGCACUCCUCAGACCGCAUCAACACUGACACCGCAGUAUUAACCCUAGAAGGCAACUCCGGUUUGGGCCCCUGAAGCUGAAGUUGGGACGGAUGAAGCGUCAUUGCACCGACAUGGGGACCCUCAUGGCCGCUUUGGUGAAAUAUGUUGAUUCUGAUAGUACCAAGGAUCCUGAAUCUGAUGAUGACAAUACAGGGAAAGGGAAGAAGAACAGCAGCUCCAAAGGUCAGCAGCAUUACUGGGCAGGCAAUGGUGGCGGAGGCAAGCGUAAAGCGGAUGGUAACAUGGACUUUGUCGCUAAUACCAAUGCACAGGACAAUGGCUAGCGAUGCAAGGGUAGACCGAAAAAUCGUAAUGGAGCACCCAACCCUAACCCAAACCGCCUAAACUAUCUGCUAAGCCAGCCCUGUCGAAGACAUGGGACGAAGGAGGCGCCAGCAAACCACCUUUGGAAGGAUUGCUUUAUUGUGCAGGAGUUCAAGAAUUCUAAUAAUUUCCGGUAUGAUCACGAAUCUGGCGGUGGCUCAGGAUCCGGACCGGGUUACGGUGGAGGAAGUUCCGGUUCAGGAUUCAAUGGUAAUUCGGGCGGACAUAAUGGUCAAAAUAGUCAGAACAACCAGGGUGGUUACAACCAACAGCAGCAACAGUCAGGAUACCAGAGCAACCCAAAGCAGUUGAGUAAUGGGCAGUACCAUGUCUUCACCACUAGCUUGGACAAGCGAGACCGGAAGGUUCAGAGGCGGGCGGUCAACUCUGUUGAACCGGCCAUACCCCGUUAUCUAUGUUGGUCUGAACAGCUAAUCAUAUGGAGCAGAGAAGAUCACCCUCCCUAGGUCGAUAAUCCGGGCCAGUUGGCUCUAGUGGUGGCGCCUCAGGUGGGAGGUUACAAAUUCACCAAGGUGCUCAUGGAUGGAGGGAGCAGCAUUAACAUCCUGUACUAUGAGACCUUCCGUCGUAUGGGACUAACAGAUAAGAAUCUCAAACCAUCUAAUACAGUGUUCCAUGGUGUAGUUCCUGGCAGAUCAGCAUAUCCUGUUGGUAAGAUAGCUCUGGAAGUGGCCUUUGGGGAUGAUCAUGAUUCCAGAUCGGAGACAUUGACGUUUGAAGUGGUGAAAAUCCGGAGUCCAUAUCAUGCCCUGUUUGGGCGACCGGCCUACGCCAAGUUUAUGGCUCGGCCCUGUUAUGUGUAUUUGCAGCUCAAGAUGCCGGGUCACAAGGGGACAAUAACGGUUCACAGAAGCCGCAAAAUUGCUUUGGAGUGUGAGGAAGUAGAUGCGGCCUAUGCAGAGUCAGUCUCUGCCACCGAGGAGUUGAAGUAUUAUAAAGACAAUGUUGAUCCGGCGGACAUGACUCCGUUGAAGAAGCCAACUACGGAGCAUGAUCCGGCCCUAAAGUUCAAAUCGGCAGCAGAAACUAAGCUUGUUGACUUCGUACCUGGCGAUUCGUCCAAGCAGUUCAACAUCAGUGCCAACUUGGAUCCAAAAUAGGAAAGCGCGCUCAUCGUGUUCAUCCGUGAGAAUCGGGACAUUUUUGCAUGGAAGCCCUCUGACAUGCCAGGUGUACCGAGGCCACUCGCUGAGCACACACUUAAUGUGGAUCCUAAAUAUAAACCAGUGAAACAGUUCCUCCGCCGGUUUAACGAAGAAAGACACAAGGCGAUUGGAGAAGAGGUAGCCAGGCUCUUAGCAGCUGGUUUUAUUGUUGAAGUUUUUCACCCUAAGUGGCUUGCCAAUCCGGUGCUGGUCCUCAAGAAAAAUGGCACCUGGCGCAUGUGCGUGGAUUACACAGAUCUUAAUAAAGCUUGUCCAGCAGAUCCUUUUGCCCUCCCCCGUAUUGAUCAGAUUAUUGAUGCUACGGCGGGUUGUGAGUGUUUAAGUUUUUUGGAUGCAUAUUCUGGCUAUCAUCAGAUCAAAAUGGCAGUUAAGGACCAGGAGAAGACGGCACUUGUUGAUUGGACGGAAAUGCAAGCACCUGAAGAAAAGCCGGAUCAUACGUAUUGGACCAUCCAUUUUGAUGGAUCCAGGCAAUUGGAAGGCUCGGGGGCUGGAGUCGUAUUAACUUCCCCACUAGGUGAUAAGUUUUGUUAUGUUCUCCGCUUAAUGUUCCCUUAUACUAACAAUGCAUCUGAGUAUGAAGCCUUGCCCCAUGGUCUCCGGAUGGCUAAGGAGAUGAAUCUAAGUCAAGUUAAGUGCUUCGGUGACUCGGACCUUGUGGCUCAGCAGGUGUCUGGCACUUGGGACUCCAAGCACCCACUCAUGGCAGCAUAUCGUCGUGAGGUGGAUAUUGUUGCAGGUUAUUUCAAAGGCUAUCAGGUGGACCACGUGGACCGGCAGAAAAAUGAAGCGGCGGACGCUUUAAGCCGGCUAGGCUCUCAGCGCAAACCGCUCCCGCCCAAUGUUUUUCUGGAUGUGCUGCACAACCCGUCGGUCAAGAUCCCUGGUGAAGAGGAUUUGGCUAUUCCUGAUCUGAAGUCUCAAUUGGUGGCAGCUCAUCAUGUUAUUCCGGAUUGGACGCUUCCUUAUCUGGCGUACAAGAGCCGGGGUGAGUUGCCAGAGGAUGAGAUUCUGGCCCGGCAGAUAAUCCGGCGAUCCAAGUCUAUGGCUAUCAUCAACGGCGAGUUGCAUCAUUGCAGUGUAUCAGGAGCUUUUCAAUGCUGCGUGUCUCCUAAAGAAGGCCGUGAAAUUUUGCGUGAGAUCCACGAAGGAGAUUGUGGUCACCACGCCGGUUCAAAGUCUCUGGUGGCUAAAGCGUUUCACCAUGGCUUCUAUUGGUUAACUGCUCAUGCUGAUGCGGAGGAUCUGGUUAGACGAUGUGAUGGUUGCCAAAGGUUUUCAAGACGUGCUCAUGUACCGGCUCAAGAAUUGAAAAUGAUUCCAAUUACUUGGCCAUUUGCGACUUGGGGGCUGGAUAUGGUUGGGCCUUUCAAAAGGUCCAAAGAUAAGAAAACCCACCUCCUGGUGGCGGUUGACAAGUUUACAAAGUGAGUGGAGGCAGAACCUGUUAGCAAGUGUGAUGCGGCCACGGCGGUUCAGUUCAUCAAAAAGGUGAUUUUCCGGUUUGGCUUUCCGCACAGUAUCAUUACAGAUAAUGGUACCAAUUUGUCCAAAGGUGCCAUGAAGGAGUUCUGCGAACGGGAGCACAUCCGGCUCGACGUUUCAUCAGUGGCACAUCCACAGUCCAAUGGUCAAGCAGAAAGAGCUAAUCAAGAGAUCUUGAGAGGCAUCAAGCCCCAGCUCAUGGCUCCUUUGCAGAGAACGCUGGGUUGUUGGCUAGAAGAAUUACCAUCUGUGUUAUGGAGUAUCAAUACAACACCCAACAGAUCAACAGGAUACACACCGUUCUUCAUGGUUUACGGAGCGGAGGCGGUUCUCCCUACUGAUAUCCAUCAUGAUUCACCUCGUGUGACGGCUUAUAUUGAAGCGGACAACGAGAUGGCACGGCAAGAUGCUUUGGACCGGUUGGAUGAAGAGCGUGACAUCGCAGCCGCCUGAUCGGCGAUUUACCAGCAGGAUCUUCGUCGUUAUCACAGUCGCCGAGUCAGAACCAGAACCUUCUAGGAAGGAGAUUUGGUGCUUCGGCUCAUCCAAGAUCAGACUGAUAUGCAUAAGCUAUCCCCACCUUGGGAGGGGCCUUUCGUGGUCAGCCAGAAUCUGCACAACGGGUCGUACUAUCUGAUCGAUAUUCGAGAGCAUAAAGACUAACGCACAUAAAAGGAGGAGACCAACAGGCCGUGGAACAUAGUUUAUCUUCGGCCUUACUAUACCUGAGCCAUUGGCUAUACUUAUGUACAUAUUACGACAAUGUAUAUAUUAUUAUUAAAUAUAAUAAACCGGAACCUCAGCUAAAGCGGGGUAUCUGUUCUUUACAUCAUGUGAGGUUACACGGAGUUGCUCUAAAGCGGCCUCCGGUUUACCCCUUGAGUUUGCUUUUUUUAAAAGCAUCAUGUUAUAUCACUUGGGGGUUUGGUCGUGUCCGAACCAAUACCAUACCUCUUGAUAGGCGAGACCCACCAGAUCACUUGGGGACUUGGUCAUGUCUGAACCAGUCAUGCCUCUUGAUCGGCCUAAGGCCACAGCAUCACUUGGGGGCUUGGUCGAACCCGAACCAUGACCAUGUCAUUUGGUCGGCAUAAAUACCAUGGUUUCAUUUGGGGACCUGGCUGACUAGAACCAUAGUUACACCUAACGUAAGCUUGGUCGUGUUUGGCCAUGGUAACGCCAUUUGAUCAGCUCAAAUAAACCUUUUUUGCAAACGGUUUUUUCCUUGCAUUUGCUUCACAUUUUUCUUUGAAGGGUUUUUUUUCUUUAUAUUGCGUUUUUUAAACCGACAAAGUUUUUUAACCAAUCAAUUGACGGAACACAGUUCACGUCAAUCCGGAGACUAUUUGCCCGGUUUGAUCCUUCUUGUUAACAUCCUCUUAUGGAGUAACACGGUGUUUAUUAUAACCCGGCACGGUUUACCUGGUAAACCAGCGUCAUAUAUAUACAGGAGCUGUUAUCUCCUCCAACAGUGUGGGUUUGCAAAACUCCGCUUCAAGAUUGGCCAAGCCAACUUCAUGCUCGACGAUGGCAGGUAUUAUGUAUCACAAAAAUUUGGUUAUAUACUUAAGAAUUUUUUGGAUGUUUUGACUUCAUAUAUGCAGACAUCAUAUUCCGCCGGACGGUACAACCGUGGUGGCACUUGAUGAGUUUUUUAUUGCAGAAAGUGCUUUGGAAAGUUCAUCACCACAGGAAGAAAAAAUUAUGCAUGAAGGCAUAUCAACAUCAAAAGUAACAGCUAGUCUAUUACAAGGAAACACGGUGCCCAUAACAAUAUCAUUGUUUUUCGCAAAGGAGAGGCAGUUUCAAAACCGGCUUCCGGUUCAAGCUUGGUCACCAUGCGCCGCUUCAGCCUCCGUUUCUCUACCCAGUGGCUGGAAAUCAACAGUUGUCCGGUCGAUUCCCAUUAAUACUUGAAAAACUGCUUCAUCAUGGAUCAACAAUGACGGGUUAAUAUCGGGAGCGUAUGUGUGCUUACGGAUUGGUGGGAUAAGAUUUUUCGACUCAUGAAUUGGGGCAGCUAUUCGCUUGUUCUGAUUAUCAUAUUGAGCUUGAUAACGAGACAAGUCUGCUUCUUCAGCCAGUUGACAAGCUAGUGGACGCACCUCCCAGUUUAUGGCUCGCUGAUCCGCUUCACUAAAUUCUGACCCAUCUUCUUUCAAACUGGGACAGCCCUGAGCCGCUUCAAUAGGAUCAAAAUCCGGCACCCAGGCUUUUGCUCGCAUUAAGGCAUUGAUCGCACCGGUUCGAGCAGCAGAUUUCUUCAGCUCUUCAACCCGGGCGGGAAGCACCGACAGUUUCAUCAGGGUAUCUUGAAUCAAAGUGGGCGCCAGUUUGUUGUGAGAUGCGGUACAGAUGAUCCGAUGUGCGCCAGUAUACAGCUGUUCGACCAACAUGUAGACGGUUUUCAAUUUUUUCCGCACAUCUGAACCCAAGUGACCAGUGCGUGUCCCUGAAAUAUCAUAAGGGUUAAACCGGCAGUUCUGUAAGAAGGCCGAGUCAAUUAAGACGUCAAACUGGCUUACCAAAGAUAGCAGUGGUCAUAGUAUGCACGUGCCGUUUUAUACUGGUCAGUUCAUCCGCCACCGGUUUUAGUGCAGCCUCGGCAUCCUCUAUUUGUUUGAUUAAAGUGGACUUUUCAGUGGCCCAAUCCGCCUGCUUCUUCUUGAAGCUCUCCUUAAGCUUCUCCAUGGUGCUUAAAGCGCUGACUAAUUUCUCUUUUGCUUUGGAGGUUUCAGCUUGUUGGAUUUUUAGAUUUUCUUGGAGGUCGGCGAUUUGGUUUUCUUUCGUCUUCAGCUCAGCCUGCAUGCAGAUAGUUAUAUGCUUCAACAAAAUGGUACAAGGAUUGAAGUACCAACCACAUAACAAGUUAUGCACUUGGCACUUGGGGGCUAAUGCAUAUUCGAUCUUCAUCUUUCAAUUGCUCACAAAGUCCCAAGAUCAAUACAAGUAUUCAACUUGGCACUUGGGGGCUAAUGGAUAUUUGCUCGUAUAUAUUCUGAUGCGGCAAUUUCAAUUACUUAAAGUACCGGUUUAACUACGCUAAGUUGAACCGGCCCUUGGGGGCGACAUCAGCGAAUUUCAAAGCAUCAAGAUUUAUAUUAGUAAGUCCCGGUUUGAAAGAAUAUUACAAGCCGGCCCUUGGGGGCUACGAGAGUCAGCAAGAAUGGAAGGAUACAAGCAGGAAGGAGCAUAUGGAAGUUACCUCAUAUUUAUCUUUCAUCAUAUUAACCAGACCGGCUUCAUAGUCGCGGCUGGUAUACAACUGGUUCAGAUAGCCGGAAUGGAUAUCUUGGGCGUUCAGAGCAGCAUAAGUCGUCAGAUCAGCGUUGCACUUGGCUUUGCCAAAGGCAGCAAAUUCUUCCUUGGCAGAAUGUUUGGACAAAGCGACAGGAUUGCUUGGCUCAGUAUGGCCAGUGCCAGUAAUGACAACCUCAUCAUCCUUGGUACCGCCGGUUUGCACUGGAGCUGUUGGCUUGUCAGUAGGUUUUACUGGACCGGUGGAGCUUUCAAUCCGAAUGGAGCCUGUGGGCUGAUUGACAGGGCCUGAGGCAUCACUAGGUCUCUCUUCAGAAAUAAGAUCGUCGUCUUGCUGCGGCAGAUUGUUGGGUAUAUACUCAGGAAUAGCCGCUUCAAGAUCAGGUGUCUUGCCUGGCUCAAGAACGGCAUCUUCUUCGGCCGCUUUGUCCAGGCGGGCCUUCUUGCUUGGCCUAGGUUUGGCCCUGAGAAGAAUAACAAAAUCAAAUACAGCAUAUGUUCCAAGGCGAUGUACUGCAGAUAUCACAAUAAGUAUAGCUUACCCAAGCACUGUUUUGAGCAGUGGCAGCUGAGUAGCUGAUGACUUGCCAGAAGAGGAGUAGGAGGUAACCUGGUAAUCGGAGUCAGAUGGAUUAAGAGGUUGACGAAAGCAGCCCGCUUGAGGACAAGCACUGACAAGCAAAUUAGAGACCUCUGAAUGGCGUUUUUGAACCGGACUGUUCGGUAAACCGGCGGAGGUAACUACUGUUGGGGAACGUAGCAGAAAUUCAAAAUUUUCCUACGUAACACCAAGAUCUAUCUAUGGAGAGACCAGCACCGAGUAGAAAGAAGAGUGCAUCUACAUACCCUUGUAGAUCGCUAAGCGGAAGCGUUCAAGUGAACGGGGUUGAUGGAGUCGUACUCGUCGUGAUUCAGAUCACCGAUGAUCCUAGUGCCGAACGGACGGCACCUCCGCGUUCAUCACACGUACAGCUCGAUGAUGUCUCCCACGCCUUGAUCCAGCAAGGAGAGAGGGAGAGGUUGAGGAAGACUCCAUCCAGCAGCAGCACAACGGCGUGGUGGUGAUGGAGGAGCGUGGCAAUCCUGCAGGGCUUCGCCAAGCACCUACGGGAGAGGAGGAGGUGUCACGGGAGGGAGGGAGGCGCCAAGGGCUCAGGUAUGGAUGCCCUCCCUCCCCUCCACUAUAUAUAGGGGCAGGGGAGAGGGGGGAGGCGCAGCCUUGCCCCCUACUCCAAGAAAGGGGUGCGGCUAAGGAGGGGGGGAGGAGUCCUUCCUCCCCAAGGCACCUCGGAGGUGCCUUCCCCCUUUAGGACUCUCCCCUUUUUCCUUUAUCUUGGCGCAUGGGCCUCUAGGGGCUGGUGCCCUUGGCCCAUGUAGGCCAAGGCGCACCCCCUACAGCCCAUGUGGCCCCCGAGGGCAGGUGGCCCCACCCGGUGGGCCCCCGGGACCCUUCCGGUGGUCCCGGUACAAUACCGAUGACCCCGAAACUUGUCCCGAUGGCCGAAACAGGACUUCCUAUAUAUAAAUCUUUACCUCCGGACCAUUCCGGAACUCCUCGUGACGUCCGGGAUCUCAUCCGGGACUCCGAACAACAUUCGGUAACCACAUACAAGCUUCCUUUAUAACCCUAGCGUCAUCGAACCUUAAGUGUGUAGACCCUACGGGUUCGGGAGACAUGCAGACAUGACCGAGAUGUUCUCCGGUCAAUAACCAACAGCGGGAUCUGGAUACCCAUGUUGGCUCCCACAUGUUCCACGAUGAUCUCAUCGGAUGAACCACGAUGUCAAGGACUCAAUCGAUCCCGUAUACAAUUCCCUUUGUCUAGCGGUAUGGUACUUGCCCGAGAUUCGAUCGUCGGUAUACCGAUACCUUGUUCAAUCUCGUUACCGGCAAGUCUCUUUACUCGUUCCGUAACACAUCAUCCCGUGAUCAACCCCUUGGUCACAUUGUGCACAUUAUAAUGAUGUCCUACCGAGUGGGCCCAGAGAUACCUCUCCGUUUACACGGAGUGACAAAAUCCCAAUCUCGAUUCGUGCCAACCCAACAGACACUUUCAGAGAUACACGUAGUGUACCUUUAUAGCCACCCAGUUACGUUGUGACGUUUGGCACACCCAAAGCACUCCUACGGUAUCCGGGAGUUGCACAAUCUCAUGGUCUAAGGAAAUGAUACUUGACAUUAGAAAAGCUUUAGCAUACGAACUACAUGAUCUUGUGCUAGGCUUAGGAUUGGGUCUUGUCCAUCACAUCAUUCUCCUAAUGAUGUGAUCCCGUUAUCAACGACAUCCAAUGUCCAUGGUCAGGAAACCGUAACCAUCUAUUGAUUAACGAGCUAGUCAACUAGAGGCUUACUAGGGACAUGGUGUUGUCUAUGUAUCCACACAUGUAUCUGAGUUUCCUAUCAAUACAAUUCUAGCAUGGAUAAUAAACGAUUAUCAUGGACAAGGAAAUAUAAUAAUAAUCAAUUUAUUAUUGCCUCUAGGGCAUAUUUCCAACAGUCUCCCACUUGCACUAGAGUCAAUAAUCUAGUUCACAUCGAUAUGUGAUUAACACUCAAGGUCACAUCCCCAUGUGACUAACACCCAAAGAGUUUACUAGAGUCAAUAAUCUAGUUCACAUUUACCAUGUGAUUAACACUCGAUGAGUUCUGGGUUUGAUCAUGUUAUGCUUGUGAGAGAGGUUAUAGUCAACGGGUCUGAACCUUUCAGAUCCGUGUGUGCUUUACAAAUCUCUAUGUCAUCUCCUAGAUGCAGCUACCACGUUCUAUUUGGAGCUAUUCCAAAUAACUGUUCUACUUGGAGCUAUUCUAAAUUGUUGCUCCAUUAUACGUAUCCAGUAUCUCUACUCAGAGCUAUCCGGAUAGGUGUUAAGCUUGCAUCGACGUAACCCUUUACGACGAACUCUUUUACCACCUCCAUAAUUGAGAAAAUUCCUUAGUCCACUAGUUACUAAGGAUAACUUUGACCGCUGUCCUGUGAGCCAUUCUUGGAUCACUCUUGUACCCCUUGACUGACUCAUGGCAAGGCACACUUAAGGUGCGGUACACAGGAUAGCAUACUAAAGAGCCUACGUCUUAAGCAUAGGGGACGACCUUCGUCCUUUCUCUCUAUUCUGCCGUGGUCGAGCUUUAAGUCUUAACUUCGUACCUUACAACUCAGGCAAGAACUCCUUCUUUGACUGGUCCAUCUUGAACACCUUCAAGAUCAUGUCAAGGUAUGUGCUCAUUUGAAAGUACUAUUAAGCAUUUUGAUCUAUCCUUAUAGAUCUUUAUGCUCAAUGUUCAAGUAGCUUAAUCCAGGUUUUCCAUUGAAAACACUUUCCAAAUAACCCUAUAUGCUUUCCAGAAAUCCUACGUCAUUUCCGAUCAACAAUAUGUUAACAACAUAUACUCAUCGGAAAUUCUAUAGUGCUCCUACUCACUUCUUUGGAAAUACAAGUUACUCAUAAACUUUGUAUACACCCAAAAUCUUUGAUCAUCAUCAAAGUAUACAUUCGAACUCCGAGAUGCUCACUCCAGUCCUCAGAAGGAUUGCUGGAACUUUGCAUACUUAUUAGCAUCUUUCAGGAUUGACAAAACCUUCCGGUUGUAUCACAUACAACCUUUCCUCAAGUAUAACAUCGAGGAAACAAUGUUUUGACAUCCUAUCUGCAAGAUUUCAUCAAUCAUGCAGUAACUGCUAAUCCAAUUCCAACAGACUCUUAGCAUCGCUACGAGUGAGAAAACCUCACCGUAAUCAACUCCUUGAACUUGUCGGAAAACAUCUUAACGACAAGUCGAGCUUUCUUAAUGGUGACAUUUACCAUCAUUGUCCGUCUUCCUUUUUGAAAUCCAUCUGUACUCAUUAGCCUUACGACCAUCGAGCCGUUCUGCCAAAGUCUACACUUUGUUUUCGUACAUGGAUCCUCUCUCGGAUUUUAUGGCCUCAAGCCAUUUAUCGGAAUCCGGGCCCACCAUCGCUUCUCCAUAGCUCGUAGGUUCAUUGUUGUCUAGCAACAUGACCUUCAAGACAGGAUUACUGUACCACUUUGAAGUAGUACGUAUCCUUGUCACCCUACGAGGUACGGCAGUGAUUUGAUCCGAAACUUCAUGAUCAAUAUCAUAAGCUUCCACUUCAAUUGGUGUAGGUGCCACAUGAACAACUUCCUGUGCCCUGAUACACACUGGUUGAAGUGAUGGUUCAAUAACCAUAUCAAGUCUCCACCAUCCUCCCACUCAACUCUUUCGAGAGAAACUUUUCCUCGAGAAAGGACCCGAUUCUAGAAACAAUCCAUAUUGCUUUCGGAUCUGAAUUAGGAGGUAUACCCAACUGUUUUGGGUUUCCUAUGAAGAUGCAUUUUAUCCGCUUUGGGUUCGAGCUUAUCAACCUGAAACUUUUUCAUAUAAGCGUCGCAGCCCCAAACUUUUAAGAAACGACAACUUAGGUUUCUCUAAACCAUAAUUCAUACGGUGUCAUCUCAUCGGAAUUACGUGGUGCCCUAUUUCAAGUGAAUGUGGUUGUCUUUAAUGCCUAACCCAUAAACUAUCGUGGCAGUUCGAUAAGAGACAUCAUGGUACGCACCAUAUCCAAUAGGGUGCAACUAUGAUGUUCGGACACACCAUCACACUAUGGUGUUCCAGGCUGUAUCAGUUGUGAAACAAUUUCCACAAUGUCUUAAUUCUGUGCCAAACUCGUGAUUCAGAUAUUCAUCUCUAUGAUCAUAUCAUAGAUCUUUUAUCCUCUUGUCAUGACGAUCUUUCAACUUCACACUGAAAUUACCUUUCAAUAAUUCAGACUCGUGAUUCAUCAAGUAAAUAUACUCAACAUCUACUCGAAUCAUCUGUGAAGUAAGAACAUAACGAUAUUCACUGCAUGCCUCAACACUCAUUGGACUGCACACAUCAAAAUGUGUUACUUCCAACAAGUUGCUAUCUUGUUCCAUUUUACUGAAAACGAGGCUUUUCAGUCAUCUUGCCCAUGUGGUAUGAUUUGCAUGUCCCAAGUGAUUCAAAAUCAAGUGAGUCAAAACGGUCCAUUUGCAUGGAGUUUCUUCAUGCAUAUACACCAAUAGACAUGGUUCGCAUGUCUCAAACUUUUCAAAAACGAGUGAGGCCAAAGAUCCAUCAAUGUGGAGCUUCUUCAUGCGUUUUAUACCGAUAUGACUUACGUGGCAGUGCCACAAGUAGGUGGUACUAUCAUUACUAUCUUUUGGCAUGAACAUGUGUAUCACUACGAUCGAGAUUUAAUAAACCAUUCAUUUUAGGUGUAAGACCAUUGAAGGUAUUAUUCAAAUAAACAGAGUAACCAUUAUUCUCCUUAAAUGAAUAACCGUAUUGCGAUAGACGUAAUCCAAUCAUGUCUAUGCUCAACGCAAACACCAAAUAACAAUUAUUUAGGUUUAACACCAAUCUCUUUGGUAGAGAGAGCGUGCGAUGCUUGAUCAUAUCAAGCUUGGAAAAACUUCCAACACAUAUCGUCAGCUCACCUUUAGCUAGUCUCCGUUUAUUCCGUAGCCUUUUGUUUCGAGUUACUAACACUUAGCAACCGAACCGGUAUCUAAUACCCUGGUGCUACUAGGAGUACUAGCAAAGUACACAUUAACACAAUGUAUAUCCAAUAUACUUCUAUCGACCUUGCCAGCCUUCUUAUCUACCAAGUAUCUAGGGUAAUUCUGCUCUAGUGGUUGUUCCCCUUAUUACAGAAGCACUUAGUCUCGGGUUUGGGUUUUACCUUGGGUUUCUUCACUAGAGCAGCAGCUGAUUUGCCAUUUCAUGAAGUAUCCCUUCUUGCCCUUGCCCUUCUUGAAACUAGUGGUUUCACCAACCAUCAACAAUUGAUGCUCCUUCUUGAUUUCUACUUUCAUGGUGUCAAACAUCGCGAGUAUCUCAAGGAUCAUCAUAUAUGUCCCUGAUAUAUUAUAGUUCAUCACGAAGCUCUAGCAGCUUGGUGGUAAUGACUUCGGAGAACCAUCACUGUCUUAUCUGGAAGAUCAACUCCCACUCGAUUCAAGCGAUUGUUGUACUCAGACAAUCUGAGCACAAGCUCAACAAUUGAGCUUUUCUCCUUAGUUUGCAGGUUAAGAAAGUCAUCGGAGGUCUUAUACCUCUUGACAUGGGCACGAGCCUGAAAUCCCAAUUUCACCCUCAAAACAUCUCAUAUGUUUUGCGAUGUUUCAAAAACGUCUUUGGUGCCUCAACUCUAAACCGUUUAACUGAACUAUCACGUAGUUAUCAAAACGUGUAUGUCAGAUGUUCGCAACAACCACAGACAACGUUCGAGGUUCAGCACACUGAGCGGUGCAUUAAGGACAUAAGCCUUCUAUGAAGCAAUGAGGACAAUCCUCAGUUUACGGACCUAGUCUGCAUAAUUGCUACUAUCAACUUUCAACUAAUUUUUUUCUCUAGGAACAUAUCUAAACAGUAGAACUAUAGCGUGAGCUACGACAUAAUUUGCAAAAACCUUUUGACUAUGUUCAGGAUAAUUAAGUUCAUCUUAUGAACUCCCACUCAGAUAGACAUCCCUCUAGUCAUCUAAGUGAUUACAUGAUCCAAGUCAAACUAGGCCGUGUCCGAUCAUCACGUGAGACGGACUAGUCAUCAUCGGUGAACAUCUUCAUGUUGAUCGUAUCUUCUAUACGACUCAUGCUCGACCUUUCGGUCUCCGUGUUCCGAGGCCAUGUCUGUACAUGCUAGGCUCGUCAAGUUAACCCUAAGUGUUUCGCGUGUGUUCCGAGGCCAUGUCUGUACAUGCUAGGCUCGUCAACACCCGUUGUAUUUGAACGUCUGAAUAAAACACCCGAUCAUCACGUGAUGUUUUGAAACAGCGAACUGUCGCAACGGUGCACAGUUAGGGGAGAACACUUCUUGAAAUUGUUGUAAGGGAUCAUCUUAUUUACUACCGUCGUUCUAAGCAAAUAAGAUGCAUAAACAUGAUAAACAUCACAUGCAAUCAAAUAGUGACAUGAUAUGGCCAUCAUCACUUUGCUCCUUUUGAUCUCCAUCUUCGGGGCUCCAUGAUCAUCAUCGUCACCGGCAUGACACCAUGAUCUCCAUCAUCAUGAUCUCCAUCAUCGUGUCUUCAUGAAGUUGCCUCGCCAACUAUUACUUCUACUACUAUGGCUAACGGUUAGCAAUAAAGUAAAGUAAUUACAUGACGUUUUAAGUUGACACGCAGGUCACAAAUAAAUAAAGACAACUCCUAUGGCUCCUGCCGGUUGUCAUACUCAUCGACAUGCAAGUCGUGAUUCCUAUUACAAGAACAUGAUCAAUCUCAUACAUCACAUAUAUCAUUCAUCACAUCCUUUUUGGCCAUAUCACAUCACAUAGCAUAUCCUGCAAAAACAAGUUAGACGUCCUCUAAUUGUUGUUUGCAUGUUUUACGUGGCUGCUAUGGGUUUCUAGCAAGAACGUUUCUUACCUACGCAUGAACCACAACGUGAUAUGCCAAUUGCUAUUUACCCUUCAUAAGGACCCUUUUCAUCGAAUCCGAUCCGACUAAAGUGGGAGAGACAGACACCCGCCAGCCACCUUAUGCAACUAGUGCAUGUUUGUCGGUGGAACCGGUCUCACGUAAGCGUACGUGUAAGGUUGGUCCGGGCCGCUUCAUCCCACGAUGCCGCCGAAUCAAGAUAAGACUAGUAACGGCAAGCAUAUUGAACAAUAUCGACGCCCACAACUACUUUGUGUUCUACUCGUGCAAAGAAUCUACGCAAUAGACCUAGCUCAUGAUGCCACUGUUGGGGAACGUAGCAGAAAUUCAAAAUUUUCCUACGUAACACCAAGAUCUAUCUAUGGAGAGACCAGCAACGAGUAGAAAGAAGAGUGCAUCUACAUACCCUUGUAGAUCGCUAAGCGGAAGCGUUCAAGUGAACGGGGUUGAUGGAGUCGUACUCGUCGUGAUUCAGAUCACCGAUGAUCCUAGUGCCGAACGGACGGCACCUCCGCGUUCAUCACACGUACAGCUCGACGAUGUCUCCCACGCCUUGAUCCAGCAAGGAGAGAGGGAGAGGUUGAGGAAGACUCCAUCCAGCAGCAGCACAACGGCGUGGUGGUGAUGGAGGAGCGUGGCAAUCCUGCAGGGCUUCGCCAAGCACCUACGGGAGAGGAGGAGGUGUCACGGGAGGGAGGGAGGCGCCAAGGGCUCAGGUAUGGAUGCCCUCCCUCCCCUCCACUAUAUAUAGGGGCAGGGGAGAGGGGGGAGGCGCAGCCUUGCCCCCUACUCCAAGAAAGGGGUGCGGCUAAGGAGGGGGGGAGGAGUCCUUCCUCCCCAAGGCACCUCGGAGGUGCCUUCCCCCUUUAGGACUCUCCCCUUUUUCCUUUAUCUUGGCGCAUGGGCCUCUAGGGGCUGGUACCCUUGGCCCAUGUAGGCCAAGGCGCACCCCCUACAGCCCAUGUGGCCCCCGAGGGCAGGUGGCCCCACCCGGUGGGCCCCCGGGACCCUUCCGGUGGUCCCGGUACAAUACCGAUGACCCCGAAACUUGUCCCGAUGGCCGAAACAGGACUUCCUAUAUAUAAAUCUUUACCUCCGGACCAUUCCGGAACUCCUCGUGACGUCCGGGAUCUCAUCCGGGACUCCGAACAACAUUCGGUAACCACAUACAAGCUUCCUUUAUAACCCUAGCGUCAUCGAACCUUAAGUGUGUAGACCCUACGGGUUCGGGAGACAUGCAGACAUGACCGAGAUGUUCUCCGGUCAAUAACCAACAGCGGGAUCUGGAUACCCAUGUUGGCUCCCACAUGUUCCACGAUGAUCUCAUCGGAUGAACCACGAUGUCAAGGACUCAAUCGAUCCCGUAUACAAUUCCCUUUGUCUAGCGGUAUGGUACUUGCCCGAGAUUCGAUCGUCGGUAUACCGAUACCUUGUUCAAUCUCGUUACCGGCAAGUCUCUUUACUCGUUCCGUAACACAUCAUCCCGUGAUCAACCCCUUGGUCACAUUGUGCACAUUAUGAUGAUGUCCUACCGAGUGGGCCCAGAGAUACCUCUCCGUUUACACGGAGUGACAAAAUCCCAAUCUCGAUUCGUGCCAACCCAACAGACACUUUCAGAGAUACACGUAGUGUACCUUUAUAGCCACCCAGUUACGUUGUGACGUUUGGCACACCCAAAGCACUCCUACGGUAUCCGGGAGUUGCACAAUCUCAUGGUCUAAGGAAAUGAUACUUGACAUUAGAAAAGCUUUAGCAUACGAACUACAUGAUCUUGUGCUAGGCUUAGGAUUGGGUCUUGUCCAUCACAUCAUUCUCCUAAUGAUGUGAUCCCGUUAUCAACGACAUCCAAUGUCCAUGGUCAGGAAACCGUAACCAUCUAUUGAUUAACGAGCUAGUCAACUAGAGGCUUACUAGGGACAUGGUGUUGUCUAUGUAUCCACACAUGUAUCUGAGUUUCCUAUCAAUACAAUUCUAGCAUGGAUAAUAAACGAUUAUCAUGAACAAGGAAAUAUAAUAAUAAUCAAUUUAUUAUUGCCUCUAGGUCAUAUUUCCAACAGUCUCCCACUUGCACUAGAGUCAAUAAUCUAGUUCACAUCGAUAUGUGAUUAACACUCAAGGUCACAUCCCCAUGUGACUAACACCCAAAGAGUUUACUAGAGUCAAUAAUCUAGUUCACAUUUACCAUGUGAUUAACACUCGAUGAGUUCUGGGUUUGAUCAUGUUAUGCUUGUGAGAGAGGUUAUAGUCAACGGGUCUGAACCUUUCAGAUCCGUGUGUGCUUUACAAAUCUCUAUGUCAUCUCCUAGAUGCAGCUACCACGUUCUAUCUGGAGCUAUUCCAAAUAACUGUUCUACUUGGAGCUAUUCUAAAUUGUUGCUCCAUUAUACGUAUCCGGUAUCUCUACUCAGAGCUAUCCGGAUAGGUGUUAAGCUUGCAUCGACGUAACCCUUUACGACGAACUCUUUUACCACCUCCAUAAUUGAGAAAAUUCCUUAGUCCACUAGUUACUAAGGAUAACUUUGACCGCUGUCCUGUGAUCCAUUCUUGGAUCACUCUUGUACCCCUUGACUGACUCAUGGUAAAGCACACUUCAGGUGCGGUACACAGCAUAGCAUACUGUAGAGCCUAUGUCUUAAGCAUAGGGGACGACCUUCGUUCCUUUCUCUCUAUUCUGCCAUGGUCGAGCUUUAAGUCUUAACUUCAUACCUUACAACUCAGGCAAGAACUCCUUCUUUGACUGAUCCAUCUUGAACACCUUCAAGAUCACGUCAAGGCAUGUGCUCACGUCAAGAUCACGUCGGUAUACCGAUACCUUGUUCAAUCUCGUUACCGGCAAGUCUCUUUACUCGUUCCGUAACACAUCAUCCCGUGAUCAACCCCUUGGUCACAUUGUGCACAUUAUGAUGAUGUCCUACCGAGUGGGCCCAGAGAUACCUCUCCGUUUACACGGAGUGACAAAAUCCCAAUCUCGAUUCGUGCCAACCCAACAGACACUUUCAGAGAUACCCGUAGUGUACCUUUAUAGCCACCCAGUUACGUUGUGACGUUUGGCACACCCAAAGCACUCCUACGGUAUCCGGGAGUUGCACAAUCUCAUGGUCUAAGGAAAUGAUACUUGACAUUAGAAAAGCUUUAGCAUACGAACUACAUGAUCUUGUGCUAGGCUUAGGAUUGGGUCUUGUCCAUCACAUCAUUCUCCUAAUGAUGUGAUCCCGUUAUCAACGACAUCCAAUGUCCAUGGUCAGGAAACCGUAACCAUCUAUUGAUUAACGAGCUAGUCAACUAGAGGCUUACUAGGGACAUGGUGUUGUCUAUGUAUCCACACAUGUAUCUGAGUUUCCUAUCAAUACAAUUCUAGCAUGGAUAAUAAACGAUUAUCAUGAACAAGGAAAUAUAAUAAUAAUCAAUUUAUUAUUGCCUCUAGGGCAUAUUUCCAACAACUACCUGGCCGCUGUGCCGGGUUGUGCGACGAGCUUCGUGUUAUUGGGUCUUCAUAAGAAAUUUAGGAUCCAAAUAAGCAAGAGGAUGAGAAAAUUUAACUUUCCGGUUUGCCUGACGGAUUUUUUGUGAAGGCAAAGGUUCUGAAUCGGAAGAGAGAAUAAUUACCUUUGCAGCAUCCGCGUGGCUGGCUUCGGCAUCAUCCUGACAAAUAUCAUCAUCAAUAAGACGCAUCAAAAAUAAACCAAGUGAGUCAAGCUCUACCUCAAGGUCCGGAUUAUCCACAUCAUCAUCAGGGGCCGGAUUAGAAGAUGUUGUGGUUCUUUUCCUGUGGGCAGUCUUCUUCACAGCUUUAGUCUUUUGCCGAGUUGCUCUUUCCGGUUUGUCUGGUUUUUCUGGUUUCUCCUGCGGCAGUUUCUUGCUCUAAAACAGAUCAUUGCCCUGAUUACACGGACACUGAUAUUAAACAAUGACCAGACAUAUCGAUAACAGAUUCAGCAAAGAGAAAAUCAAAUUCUUACAGCUGGCGGUUUGUUGGUGGCACAGAAGGGAAGCAGGCCGGUUCUAGCGCAGACGUAUUCCGGUUCAUUCAGCAUCUUAUUCACAGCCUCUGUGAUCUCUUCAUCGGAGAGCUGGAUUUUAGAAUGUCGCAGUGGGUCAUCAACAUUGUCAGUAUACUCGCACAUCAAACCGGAGCGCUGACUAAGGGGCAGUAUGCUCCAUGAUAUCCAACAGUGAGCGAGAUCAACCCCUGUUAAACCGUUGGCCAUAAAGGCUCUGAGCUUUGACAGUUGAGGAGCAUAUUUGCUUCUCUCCUGGGCAGUCAAUCUUUGAGGAAAAGGGUGUGUAUUGCUGAGCCGCUCCGAACGAAAGCCAGGCAAGGGAUUCUCACCAGCAGGGGAGGUGUCUUUGCAGUAGAACCAUGUCCGAUUCCAUUCUUUGGGGUGGUUGUGCAGCUUGGCGUGAGGGUAUGUGACCUCUUUCCUUUUCUGAAUCGCCACGCCACCCAACUCCGUAUUAGAGACAUCAGUAAACUCAGUACGGCGGUUUAGAUGGAAAAGGUCUCUGAACAAUUCCACUGUGGGCUCCUCUUGAAAGAACACCUCACACAGCACUUGGAAGUGACACAUAUUCGUAACAGAGUUGGGGCCAGUGUCUUGUGGAUGGAGAUGGAAAUCGGCUAAAACAUCCCGGUAAAAUUUAGAACCAGGCGGCUUAAAGCCCCGGGCUAAGUGAUCUACAAAAACAACAACCUCUCCUUCUCGAGGUGUGGGAGGGCAUUCUUUGCCAGGAGCCCUCGAAUGGAUGGUAUCUUUGCUGCCUAAAGCGCCAAUCAGGACUAGAUCGUCCAGUUGAGCCUCUGUGACGCGAGAAGGAACCCAAUUGCACUCAUAUACUUGCUUGGCCAUGAGGAAAUCUACAAGGUAGAAGAUCCCGGUUCAAAAAUGCAUUGAUCAAGGUACAUUGGUAUGCGCAAUGUCAAACCGGAGACAUAUCUAUCUAAAACAGAGUUUAUAAAACAACAACAUCUGGCGGUUCAACUAGGGGCUAAUGAUAUAUACCGGUUUGGCAAUUUAUUCUACAAGGUUAAACCGCCUGAUCUAAGCAUGGAGACAGUUGAGAUGGCGGAUGGAUAAGUGUGCAGAAACAGAUUUCACACGAUUUCUCUACAGCGUUGGAUCUGAAGCAAGUUCAGAAAAUAAGAAAAAUAUUCAAAAGCUCAAGGUAGAACAACAUUGAAUCAAUGGGCAGAAACAUAUGUGAGAUCUAUGUUCUAUGGCAUGAAACUAAAAACGGAUACUAACAGCUACCGUUAUACAGAACAGGGGUUCACAAAUGCAUCCAGGGUUAGUGUAUGAACACGAACAGGUGAUGAACACUGCAAGAACAUGAAACCCUAGAACAGAUCUGUGGGGGAAAGGAUAGAAGGUUUACCGGGGCUAAGGAAGAUGCGGAAGGUUGCUGUGAUGCUCUGGUGCGACCAGGUGGAUGCAGCGGCCAAGGUUGAGGCAGAGGUCGACGGUGGCGGCAGAGCUCUGAAGCCGGGCGAGGCGAGGAAGACGAAGCAGAAGGGGAAGAAGGGAAAAAGGAAAUGACCCUUCGGUCCUAUUUAUAAGGCAAAGGGUAUGGUCAGGCGCGGCAAUUAAGGGGCUACGGAACGGAGCCGUCGCCUCAAUUUCCGCAUAUCUAUUAAACAAAGAAGCAUAAUGGAUAUCUUCGUUAUGACAGGUGACGUCACUCCGGUUUACAGCAAUCCGAGAAGAUGACAUCAUGGCGGUUCACCAAUUUAUGAGAAGAUGUUGAAGAUGAAGCCUUGGAUAAAGGAUUGACAUGAACCUGUUCAAAUCAAUCUAGGGCCUAAUGUUGGGGAUAUUACUGCUGGGCAUCAACCGGCCUAUCUGGGCCGGGUCAACUUCAUCAGUAGUUCCAGAGUGAUAAAGCCCAAGAAGGCAGAUGAGGGCCUAAGGCCCGUAGCCAGUUCAAGACUUGUAGCUGUAAACCGGGAAUCAUAUAUAAGCUUGUAUUAUAAGUUAGGAAUAAGGAGAGACCAGCCCGGAUACGAAUAUCGACCGGUGUUGGGACUCUGUGAACCGACGGGUGUCACCCGUGUAUAUAAGGGGACGACCCGGCGGCGGGUUAAGGACAGACAACAACUCGAGACAUAGGCGAAGCUUGUUUGCUCCUUAGUCAUUGAAACCCCAUCAAUUCCAUCACAACUAGACAUAGGCUUUUACCUUCAUUGAACGGGCCGAACUAGUAUAAACUCUCUUGCGUCCCUGUGUCCGCUUUAACCCCUUCAAGCUAACCCGUCGCGAUGGCUCCACGACUAAGUCCUUUCUCUAGGACAUCUGCCGUGACAAAACCAUGACAAGGAUCAUAUUUCAUUCUAGCAUUCAGUGUUUUUUUGUUUCAGCUUAGCUAAUAAUUUCUUAAGAUCACUCCUAUCAUUACAAGCAAUAAAAUCUCUAGCAGUUUCUUCAUCCAUAACAUAGCCCUCAGGCACAACAGGUAAUUCAUAUCUCGGGGGAGAAUCUUCAUCAUCACUUUCAUCAAUAUUAUCAGUUUCAAUAAUUUCAUUCUCUCUAGCCCUAGCAAGUUGUUCAGCAAGAAAUUCACCAAGUGGCAUAGUAGUGUCAAGCAUAGAAAUAGUUUUAUCAUAAGUAUCAUGCAUAGCAGAAGUGGCAUCAUCAAUAACAUGCGACAUAUCAGAAUUAAUAGCAGAAGCAGGUUUAGGUGUCGCAAGCUUACUCAAAACAGAAGGUGAAACAAGUGCAGAGCAAGAUGGCAGUUCCUUACCUCCCCUCAUAGUUGAGGGAUAAAUCUUGGUUCUUGGAUCUUUCAAGUUCUUCAUAAUGAUAAGCAGAUAUAAAUCCCAAGUGACUCAAAGAAUAGAGCUAUGCUCCCCGGCAACGGCGCCAAAAAAUAGUCUUGAUAACCCACAAGUAUAGGGUAUCGCAACAGUUUUCGAGGGUAGAGUAUUCAACCCAAAUUUAUUGAUUCGACACAAGGGAAGCCAAAGAAUAUUCUCAAGUAUUAGCAGCUGAGUUGUUAAUUCAACCACACCUGGAAACUUAGUAUCUGCAGAAAAGUGUUUAGUAGCAAAGUAAUAUGAUAGUAGUGGUAACGGUAGUAAAAGGUAACGGUAGCAAAAGUAAUAUUUUUGGUGUUUUGUAGUGAUGAUAACAAUAGCAACGGAAAAGUAAAUAAGCGAAGAACAAUAUAUGUAAAGCUCGUAGGCAAUGGAUUGGUGAUAGAGAAUUAUGCCGGAUGAGGUCAUCAUGUAACACUCAUAACCUAGGGUGACACAGAACUAUCUCCAGUUCAUCAAUGUAAUGUAGGCAUGUAUUCCGAAUAUAGUCAUACGUGCUUAUGGAAAAGAACUUGCAUGACAUCUUUUGUCCUACCCUCCCAUGGCAGCGGGUCCUAUUGGAAACUAAGGGAUAUUAAGGCCUCCUUUUAAUAGAGUACCGGACCAAAGCAUUAACACAUAGUGAAUACAUGAACUCCUCAAAAUACGGUCAUCACCGGUAAGUAUCCCGAUUAUUGUCACUUCGGGGUUAACGGAUCAUAACAUAUAAUAGGUGACUAUAGACUUGCAAGAUAGGAUCAAGAACUCUCAUAUAUUGAUGAAAACAUAAUAGGUUCAGAUUUGAAGUCAUGGCACUCGGGCACUAGUGACAAGCAUUAAGCAUAGCAAAGUCAUAGCAACAUCAAUCUCUGAACAUAGUGGAUACUAGGGAUCAAACCCUAACAAAACUAACUUGAUUACAUGAUAAAUCUCAUCAAACUCAUCACCAUCCAGGAAGCCUAUGAUGGAAUUACUCACGCACGGCGAUGAGCAUCAUGAAAUUGGUGAUGGAGGAUGGUUGAUGAUGACGAUGGUGACGGAUUCCCCUCUCCGGAGCCCCGAACGGACUCCAAAUCAGCCCUCCCGAGAGAGUUUAGGGCUUGGCGGCAGCUCCGUAUCGUAAAACACGAUGAAUCCUUCUCCUUGGUUUUUUUCUCCCCGAAAGUGAUUAUAUGGAGUCAGGGUUGAGAUCGGUGGAGCGUCAGGGGGCCCACGAGGCAGGGGGCGCGCCAAGGGGGUAGGGCGCGCCCCCCACCCUCAUGGACAGGUGGAGCCCCCUGAUGUGGAUCUUCCUUCCAGUAUUUUUUAUAUAUUCCAAAAUAAUUCUCCGUUGAUUUUUAGGUCAUUCCGAGAACUUUUACUUCUGCACAAAAAUAACGCCAUGGCAAUUCUGCUGAAAACAACGUCAAUCCGGGUUAGUUCCAUUCAAAUCAUGCAAGUUAGAGUCCUAAACAAGGGCAAAAGUGUUUGGAAAAGUAGAUACGACGGAGAUGUAUCAAGGUGUUAUACCUCACUCCUUACCUUCAUUGAGAUCCCAAUCUUCAGAGUUGCGUUUAAUUCUCUCCAAUAAAUUACAUUUAAAUUCAAUAGUCUUCAACAUAAAGGAACCAAUACAAGAAGUAUCGAGCAUGGAGCGAUUAUUGUCAGAAAGCCGAUCAUAAAAUUUUUGAAUAAUCAUUUCUCUUGAGAGCUCCUGAUUGGGGCAUGAAUAUAACAUUGACUUAAGCCUACCCCAAGCUUGAGCGAUGCUUUAUCCUUCGCGAGGCCAGAAACUAUAUAUAUAAUUACGAUCACGACGAACAAGAUGCAUAGGAUAAAACUUCUAGUGAAAUUCCAAUUUCAAUCGCUUAUAGUCCCAUGAUCCCAUAUCAUCACAUAGCCUAUACCAUGUCAAUGCAUCUCCCUUCAAAGAUAAAGGGAAGACCUUCUUCUUGAUAACAUCAUCGAGCAUACCUGCUGAUACGUCUCCAACGUAUCUAUAAUUUUUUAUUGUUCCAUGCUGUUAUAUUAUCAACCUUGGAUGUUUUAUAUGCAUUUAUAUGAUUUUUGGGACUAACCUAUUAACCUAGAGCCCAGUGCCAGUUUCUGUUUUUUCCUUGUUUUAGAGUAUCGCAGAAAAGGAAAAUCAAACGGAGUCCAAUUGACCUGAAACUUCACGGAACUUAUUUUUGGACCAGAAGAAGCCCACGGAGUAUCGGAGAUGGACCAGAAGAGUCCCGGGCUGCCCACGAGGGUGGGGGGCACGCCCCCUGCCUCGUGGACAGCCCGAAGAUCCACCGACGUACUCCUUCCUCCUAUAUAUACCCAUAUACCCUAAAAACUUCGAGGAACAGAAUAGAUCGGGAGUUCCGCCGCCAGAAGCCUCCGUAGCCACCGGAAAUCAAUCUAAACCCGUUUCGCCACCCUGCCGGAGGGGGAAUCCCUCUUCGGUGGCCAUCUUCAUCAUCUCGACGCUCUCCAUGACAAGGAUGGAGUAGUUCUCCCUCGGGGCUGAGGGUAUGUACCAGUAGCUAUGUGUUUGAUCUCUCUCUCUCGUGUUCUUGAGGUGGUACAAUCUUGAUGUACCGCGGGCUUUGCUAUUAUAGUUGGAUCUUAUGAUGUUUCUCCCCCCUCUACUCUCUUGUAAUGGAUUGAGUUUUCCCUUUGAAGUUAUCUUAUCGGAUUGAGUCUUUAAGGAUUUGAGAACACUUGAUGUAUGUAUUGCAUGGGAUACCCGUGAUGACAAUGGGGUAUUCUAUUGACCCACUUGAUUUAUGUUUUGGUGAUCAACUUGCGGGUUCUGUGACCUUAGGGAUCUAUGCAAAGGGGUUGGCACACGUUUUCGUCUUGACUCUCCUGCAGAAACUUUGGGGCACUCUUUGAAGUACUUUUGUGUUGGUUGAAUAGAUGAAUCUGAGAUUGUGUGAUACAUAUCGUAUAAUCAUACCCACGGAUAAUUGAGGUGACAUUGGAGUAUCUAGGUGACAUUAGGGUUUUGGUUGAUUUGUGUCUUAAGGUGUUAUUCUAGUACGAACUCUAGGAUAGAUUGAAUGGAAAGAAUAGCUUCAUGUUAUUUUACUAUGGACUCUUGAAUAGAUCGAUCAGAAAGGAUAACUUUGAGGUGGUUUCGUACCCUACCAUAAUUUCUUCGUUUGUUCUCCGCUAUUAGUGACUUUGGAGUGACUCUUUGUUGCAUGUUGAGGGAUAGUUAUAUGAUCCAAUUAUGUUAUUAUUGUUGAGAGAACUUGCACUAGUGAAAGUAUGAACCCUAGGCCUUGUUUCAACGCAUUGCAAUACCGUUUACGCUCACUUUUAUCAUUAGUUACCUUGCUGUUUUUAUAUUUUCAGAUUACAAAAACCUAUAUCCACCAUCCAUAUUGCACUUGUAUCACCAUCUCUUCACCGAGCUAGUGCACCUAUACAAUUUACCAUUGUAUUGGGUGUAUUGGGGACACAAGAGAUUCUUUGUUAUUUGGUUGCAGGGUUGCUUGAGAGAGACCAUCUUCAUCCUAUGCCUCCCACGGAUUGAUAAACCUUAGGUCAUCCACUUGAGGAAAAUUUGCUACUAUCCAACAAACCUCUGCACUUGGAGGCCCAACAACGUCUACAAGAAGAAGGUUGUGUAGUAGACAACAAGCUCUUUUCUGGCGCCGUUGCCGGGGAGGUUAGCGCUUGAAGGUAUAUCUUUAGAUCUUGCACUAGUUUAGUUUAUAAAAGAAAACUAAAAAAUAUGGAAUUGAGUUUGCCUCAUACGCUUCAUCUUUUUAAUAUCUUUCGUCAGUAUGAUGGAAAGGAAAAUUGUGCCAAAGUGUUAGAAGAAGAAUGCAUGAAAAUGUUUGGCACUCAAUCUUUGAAUGAUGAGCAUGAUUGCAAUGUUGUUAGUAUGAAUUCCUUGAAUAUCUAUGAUGCUAAUGAUAUGCGAAGCCACAAGCUUGGGGAUGCUAUGUUUGAUGAAUAUGAUAUUUUUAGUCCCCCAAGUUUUGAUGUGCAAAUUUAUUAUGAUGAUAGAAUGCCUCCUAUUUAUGAUGAUUAUGUUGAUGAAAGUGGUUUCGGAGAGGUCAUGAAUUUAUUUGGUAAUGAUUCCACUAUUCCAGAAGAGGUUCCAAUUGAUUAUGAGAACAAAGUUGCUAUCUAUGAUGAUUAUUGUGAUGACUUUUAUUCUAUAAAGAAUAAUAAUAUCCAUGAAACUUUUCAUCAUGAUUUUAGUUUUCAAUUGGAUUAUGCCUCACAUGAUAAUUAUUUUGUUGAGUUUGCUCCCACUAUUAUUCAUGAGAAGAAUUUUGCUUAUGUGCAGAGUAAUAAAAUUUCUAUGCUUGUAGAUCAUGAAAAGAAUGCUUUAGGUGCUGGUUAUAUUGUUGAAUUCAUUCAUGAUGCUACUGAAAAUUAUUAUGAGGGAGGAAUAUAUGCUUGUGGGAAUUGCAAUAAUAUCAAGUUUCCUCCCUAUGUGCUUAAAAUCUUGAAGUUAUGCUUGUUUCGCUUUCCUAUGCUAGUUGAUUAUUGUUCCCAUAAAUUGUUUGCUCACAAAAUCCCUAUGCAUAGGAAGUGUGUUAGGAUUAAAUGUGCUAGUUAUAUUCUUCAUGAUGCUCUCUUUAUGUUUCAAUUCUUAUCUUUUAUGUGAGCAUCAUUGAAAUCAUCAUGCCUAGCUAGGGGCGUUAAACGAUAGCGCUUGUUGGGAGGCAACCCAAUUUUAUUUUAGCUCCUUGCUUUUUGUUCCUGUUUAGUAAUAAAUAAUUUAUCUAGACUUUGUUAUGAUUGAGUUUUUAUGUUUUAAUUAGUGUUUGUGCCAAGUAGAACCUUUGGGAAGACUUGGGGAAAGUCUUUGCGAUCUUGCUGUAAAAAACAGAAACUUUAGCGCUCACGAGAAUUGCUGACAUUUUUUAUUGAAGAGUAAUAUUUAGUUAAUUAUUUUUGUAGAUGAUUAAUAGAUAAAUUCCUCACGUCCAGCAAUUUAUUUGAGAAUUUUAUGAGUUCCAUAAGAAUACGUUUGAUCCAGAUUACUACAGACUGUUCUGUUUUUGACAGAUUCUGUUUUUCGUGUGUUGUUUGCUUAUUUUUAUGAAUCUAUGGCUAGUAAUAGAGUUUAUGAACCAUAGAAAAUUUGGAAUACAGUAGGUUUAACACAAAUAUAAAUAAAGAAUGAGUUCAUUACAGUACCUUGAAGUGGUGAUUUAUUUUCUUAUACUAACGGAGCUUACGAGUUUUCUGUUAAGUUUUGUGUUGUGAAGUUUUCAUGUUUUGGGUGAAGAUUCGAUGGACUAUGGAAUAAUGAGUGGCAAGAGCCUAAGCUUGGGGAUGUCCAAGGCACCCCAAGGUAAUAUUCAAGGACAACCAAGAGCCUAAGCUUGGGGAUGCCCCGGAUGGCAUCCCCUCUUUCGUCUUCGUUCAUCGGUAACUUUACUUGGAGGUAUAUUUUUAUUUACCACAUGAUAUGUGUUUUUCUUGGAGCGUCAUUUUAUUUUAUUUAGUUUUGCUUUUUGUUUGAAUAAAAUACCAAGAUGUGAAAUUUUUAAAUGUUAGAGAGUCUUCACAUAGUUGCAUAAUUAUUUGACUACUCAUUGAUCUUCACUUAUAUCCUUCGGAGUAGUUUGUUGUUGCUCUAGUGCUUCACUUAUAUCUUUUUAGAGCACAGUGGUGGUUUUAUUUUAUAGAAAUAGAUGAACUUUCAUGCAUCACUUAUAUUAUUUUGAGAGUCCUAAACAGCAUGGUAAUUUGCUUUGGUAAUGAAUUUAGUCCUAAUAUGAUGGGCAUCCAAGAGGGAUAUAAUAAAAACUUUCAUACGAAGUGCAUUGAAUACUAAGAGAAGUUAGAUACUUGAUUAUUGUUUUGAGAUAUGGAGAUAGUGAUAUUAGAGUCAUGCUAGUUGAGUAGUUGUGAAUUUGAGAGAUACUUGUGUUAAAGUUUGUGAUUCUCGUAGCAUGCACGUAUGAUGAACCGUUAUGUGACGAAGUCGGAGCAUGAUUUAUUUAUUGACUGUCUUCCUUAUGAGUGGCGGUCGGGGACGAGCGAUGGUAUUUUCCUACCAAUCUAUCCCCCUAGGAGCAUGUGCGUAGUACUUUGUUUCGAUAACUUAUAGAUUUUUGCAAUAAGUAUGUGAGUUCUUUAUGACUAAUGUUGAGUCCAUGGAUUAUACGCACUCUCACCCUUCCACCAUUGCUAGCCUCUCUAAUACUGCGCACCUUUCGCCGGUACCUUAAACCCACCAUAUACCUUCCUCAAAACAGCCACCAUACCUACCUAUUAUGGCAUUUCCAUAGUCAUUCCUAGAUAUAUUGCCAUGCAACUCUCCACCGUUCCGUUUAUUAUUACACGCUCCAUCAUUGUCAUAUUGCUAUGCAUGAUCAUGUAGUUGACAUUUUAUUUGUGGCAAAGCCACCGUUCAUAAUUCUUUCAUACAUGUCACUCAUGAGUCAUUGCACAUCCCGGUACACCGCUUAAGGCAUUCAUAUAGAGUCAUAUUUUGUUCUAAGAAUCGAGUUGUAAUUCUUGAGUUGUGAGUAAAUAAAAGUGUGAUGAUCAUUAUUAUUAGAGCAUUGUCCCAGUGAGGAAAGGAUGAUGGAGACUAUGAUUCCCCCACAAGUCAGGAUGAGACUCCGGACGAAAAUAAAUAAAUAAAUAAAAGAGGCCAAAGAAGCCCAAAUAAAAAAAAGAAGAGAAAAGAGGCCAUAAAAAAGAGAAGGCCCAAAUAAAAAAAUAAAAAAUAAUAAAAAAUGAGAGAAAAAGAGAGAAGGGGCAAUGCUACUAUCCUUCUACCACACUUGUGCUUCAAAGUAGCACCAUGAUCUUCAUGAUAGAGAGUCUCCUAUGUUGUCACUUUCAUAUACUAGUGGGAAUCUUUCAUUAUAGAACUUGGCUUGUAUAUUCCAAUGAUGGGCUUCCUCAAAAUGCCCUAGGUCUUCGUGAGAAAGUGAGUUGGAUGCACACCCACUUAGUUUCUUUUUGAGCUUUCAUACAUUUAUAGCUCUAGUGCAUCUGUUGCAUGGCAAUCCCUACUCACUCACAUUGAUAUCUAUUGAUGGGCAUCUCCAUAGCACGUUGAUACACCUAGUUGAUGUGGGAGUAUCUUCUCCUUUUUCUCUUCUCCACAACCACCCUUCUAUUCCACAUAUAGUGCUAUAUCCAUGGCUCACGCUCAUGUAUUGCGUGAAGAUUGAAAAAGUUUGAAACAUCAAAAUUAUGAAACAAUUUCUUGGCUUGUCAUCGGGGUUGUGCAUGAUUUAAAUACGUUGUGUAGUGAAGAUGGAGCAUAGCCAGACUAUAUGAUUUUGUAGGGAUAACUUUCUGUGGCCAUGUUAUUUUGAGAAGACAUGAUUGCUUUGUUAGUAUGCUUGAAGUAUUAUUAUUUUUAUGUCAAUAUUAAACUUUUGUAUUGAAUCUUAUGGAUAUGAAUAUUCUUGCCACAAUAAAGAGAAUUACAUGGACAAAUAUGUUAGGUAGCAUUCCACAUCAAAAAUUCUGUUUUUAUCAUUUACCUCCUCGAGGACGAGUAGGAAUUAAGCUUGGGGAUGCUAAUACAUCUCCAACAUAUCUAUAAUUUUUUAUUGUUCCAUGCUAUUAUAUUAUCAACCUUGGAUGUUUUAUAUGCAUUUAUAUGCUAUUUUAUAUGAUUUUUGGGACUAACCUAUUAACCUAGAGCCCAGUGCCAGUUUCUGUUUUUUCCUUGUUUUAGAGUAUCGCAGAAAAGGAAAAUCAAACGGAGUCCAAUUGACCUGAAACUUCCCGGAACUUAUUUUUGGACCAGAAGAAGCCCACGGAGUAUCGGAGAUGGACCAGAAGAGUCCCGGGCUGCCCACGAGGGUGGGGGCGCGCCCACCCCCCCUGGGCGUGCCCCUUGCCUCAUGGACAGCCCGGAGAUCCACCAACGUACUUCUUCCUCCUAUAUAUACCCAUAUACCCUAAAAACUUCGAGGAAUAGAAUAGAUCGGGAGUUCCGCCGCCAGAAGCCUCCGUAGCCACCGAAAACCAAUCUAGACUCGUUCCAGCACCCUGCCUGAGGGGGAAUCCCUCUCCGGUGGCCAUCUUCAUCAUCCCGGCGCUCUCCAUGACAAGGAGGGAGUAGUUCUCCCUCGGGGCUGAGGGUAUGUACCAGUAGCUAUGAUCUCUCUCUCUUGUGUUCCUGAGGUGGUACUAUCUUGAUGUAUCAUGAGCUUUGCUAUUAUAGUUGGAUCUUAUGAUGUUUCUCCCCCCUCUACUCUCUUGUAAUGGAUUGAGUUUUCCCUUUGAAGUUAUCUUAUCGGAUUGAGUCUUUAAGGAUUUGAGAACACUUGAUGUAUGUCUUGCAUGGGAUACCCGUGGUGACAAUGGGGUAUUCUAUUGAUCCACUUGAUGUAUGUUUUCGUGAUCAACUAGCGGGUUCCGUGACCUUGGGAAUCUAUGCAUAGGGGUUGGCACAUGUUUUCGUCUUGACUCUCCGAUAGAAACUUUGGGGCACUCUUUGAAGUACUUUUGUGUUGAAUGAAUAGAUGAAUCUGAGAUUGUGUGAUACAUAUCGUAUAAUUAAUCAUACCCACGGAUACUUGAGGCGACAUUGGAGUAUCUAGGUGACAUUAGGGUUUUGGUUGAUUUGUGUCUUAAGGUGUUAUUCUAGUACGAACUCUAGGAUAGAUUGAACGGAAAGAAUAGCUUCAUCUUAUUUUACUAUGGACUCUUCAAUAGAUCGAUCAGAAAGGAUAACUUUGAGGUGGUUUCGUACCCUACCAUAAUCUCUUCGUCUGUUCUCCGCUACUAGUGACUUUGGAGUGACUCUUUGUUGCAUGUUGAGGGAUAGUUAUAUGAUCCAAUUAUGUUAUUAUUGUUGAGAGAACUUGCACUAGUGAAAUUAUGAACCCUAGGCCUUGUUUGAACGCAUUGCAAUACCGUUUACGCUCACUUUUAUCAUUAGUUACCUUGCUGUUUUUAUAUUUUCAGAUUACAAAAACCUAUAUCUACCAUCCAUAUUGCACUUGUAUCACCAUCUGUUCGCCGAACUAGUGCACCUAUACAAUUUACCAUUGUAUUGGGUGUGUUGGGGACACAAGAGACUCUUUAUUAUUUGGUUGCAGGGUUGCUUGAGAGAGACCAUCUUCAUCCUACGCCUCCCAUGGAUUGAUAAACCUUAGGUCAUCCACUUGAGGGAAAUUUGCUACUGUCCUACAAACCUCUGCACUUGGAGGCCCAACAACGUCUACAAGAAGAAGGUUCUGUAGUAGACAUCACCUGCAAGCUUAAAUAAUCCACAAAAUUCAUCGACAUAGAUUAAGUGUAAGUCGGGAUGCAAUGUUCCACCUCCUGCAAAAGGAUUAGCUAGUAGUUUCUCUAUCAUACACGAAGGAGUUUCGAAGUAAACAUUUUCAUUUUCAGUAGGUCCAGUAUGUUGAGGAGCAACUAUUUGUUCUACCGGUCAGGGUGAAGAUACCUCGAACAAGCCCCUCAAAGGAUUACUUUCCAGAGUAACAAGUGACAGUAAAUUUCAGCACACUACAUAAAUUUUUCCUUACCAAAUUCCACCUACCAAAGGCGCUUCACUCCCCAGCAACGGCGCCAGAAAAGAGUCUUAAUGACUCACAAGUAUAGGGGAUCUAUCGUAGUCCUUUCGAUAAGUAAGAGUGUCGAACCCAAGGAGGAGCACAAGGAAAUGAUAUGCGGUUUUCAGCAAGGUAUUCUCUGCAAGCACUGAAAUUAUCGGUAACAGAUGGUUUUGUGAUAAGGUAAUUGGUAACGAGUAGCAAGUAAUAAAAGUAAAUAAGGUGCAGCAAUAUGACCCUAUCCUUUUUGUAGCAAAGGACAAGCCUGGACAAACUCUUAUAUGAAGGAAAGCGCUCCCCAGGACACAUGGGAAUUAUCGUCAAGCUAGUUUUCAUCACGUUUAUAUGAUUCGCGUUCGGUACUUUGAUAAUUUGAUAUGUGGGUGGACCGGUGCUUGGGUACUGUCCUUACUUGGACAAGCAUCCCACUUAUGAUUAACCCCCAUUGCAAGCAUCCUCAACUACAACCAAAGUAUUAAGGUAAACCUCACCAUAGCAUGAAACAUAUGGAUCCAAAUUAGCCCCUUACAAAGCAACGCAUAAACUAGGGUUUAAGCUUCUGUCACUCUAGCAACCCAUCAUCUACUUAUUACUUCCCAAUGCCUCCCUCUAGGCCCAAACAAUGCUGAAGUGUCAUGUAGUCGACGUUCACAUGACACCACUAAAGGGAUAACAACAUACGUCUCAUCAAAAAUAUCGAACGAAUACCAAAUUCACAUGACUACUAAUAGCAAGACUUCUCCCAUGUCCUCAGGAACAAACGUAAGUACUCACAAAGCAUAUUCAUGUUCAUAAUCAGAGGGGUAUUAAUAUGCAUAAUGGAUCUAAACAUAUAAUCUUCCACCAAGUAAACCAACUAGCAUCAACUACAAGGAGUAAUCAACACUACUAGCAACCCACAGGUACCAAUCUGAGGUUUGGAUACAAAGAUUGGAUACAAGAGAUGAACUAGGGUUUGAGAUGAGAUGGUGCUGGUGAAGAUGUUGAUGGAUAUUGACCCCCUCCCGAUGAGAGGAUUGUUGGUGAUGACGAUGGUGAUGAUUUCCCCCUCCCGGAGGGAAGUUUCCCCGGCAGAACAGCUCCGCCAGAGCCCUAGAUUGGUUUCGUCAAGGUUCCGCCUCGUGGCGGCGGAGUCUCGUCCCGAAAGCUUGCUUAUUAUUAUUUCUCGGAUGAAAGACCUCAUAUAGCAGAAGAUGGGCAUCGGAGGGCCAUCAGGGGGCCCAUGAGGCAGGGGCUCGCCUAGGGGGUAGGGCGCGCCUCCCACCCUCGUGGCUAGUGGGUGGCCCCCCUCUGGUACUUCUUGCGCUCAAUAUUUUUUAUAUAUUCUGGAAAUAACUUCCGUGAAGUUUUAGGACUUUUGGAGCUGUGCAGAAUAUGUCUCUAAUAUUUUCUCCUUUUCCAGCCCAGAAUCCUAGCUGCCGGCAUUCUCCCUCUUCAUGUAAACCUUGUAAAAUAAGAGAGAAUAGGCAUACGUAUUGUGACAUAAUGUGUAUUAACAGCCCAUAAUGCAAUAAAUAUCAAUAUAAAAGCAUGACGCAAAAUAGACGUAUCAAAAAUAAGGAUGGGAAGAGGGGACUUUCUAAUCUGUGAUAGAGAAGAAAAAGGAAAGAGUGGAUAAGUAAAUAAGGAAGCAAAUGGAAUGAAUCCAAAGAAGGAAGGAAAGAAGGAUUUUGGUCUUCAAGAAGAAAAUAGAUUAAAUCUUGCUGCAAGCGAGCGAUCCGUCUGCAACUCGGAGUAGACCAAAUAUCGAUGGAAGAGAAACGCCGCCCACUUUCAAGCUGGUAAAAUUUAGCUUUCUCUGAAAUAUGAAAACUUUGUGUUGAUGCUCUUCUUUACUAAAAAGUUCGCAUUACUCUUGUAAUGCCUAUUAGUAAGCUUGUGAAUUUCUUAGAGUGUCCACUAAAUAUAAAAACAAAGGAACGGUGCAGCCUCGCCUAUGGUCGAGAGGGGGACAGGACGUGAUGUGCAUAGGUGAGUCGGAAGCAUCCAUGCACAGGGGGGCAAGAUGCCGGGUUGCAUGCAUGCCUGCUCGGUCGGACGUCCUCGUGAAAGUUUUUGGUUAGAAGCCAUAAUGAGCUUUUAGUUCUUACAAAAACAUCUCUGAUUUUAAUAUUUUUCCUCUGAAAAAACAACUCGUCUAGGACUUGGAGCAGAGCGAGCGAUCCAUCUGCAACUCGGAGUAGACCAAAUAUCGAUGGAAGCGAAACGCCGCCCACUUUCAAGCUGGUGAAAUUUAGCUUUCUUUGAAAUAUGAAAACUUUGUGUUGAUGCUCUUCUUUACUAAAAAGUUUGCAUUACUCUUGUAAUGCCUAUUAGUAAGCUUGUGAAUUUCUUAGAGUGUCCACUAAUAUAAAAACAAGACAUAUUCGAUAUAUCUCAACUAUCCAGGUGCCUAAACAGUUAUUAAUGAUGUAUGAAGCACGUACUAUGUUUGACCGAUGAUGUCAAGUUGCAUGGCAUAAAAUCUAUUUAGGUCGUUGUAUCAUUAAUGACAAUAAAUAAUGUUAUAUCUUUUUAUUAUACUUUUAUAAAUUUCAGUAUGCACUAAUAAUUUGAAUUUGUGUUAUUCACCCAGAUCAAUUGACUCGGGUAUCAUGUUUCAUGUUCUAAACUACCGUCUUGAAUAACCCUACUACCAAUCGGUCCAUUGUUACUGUCAUCAGCAACAUGUGGCCCGCGAUCCAGUUUAUCGACCUUGCCACCCCUGAUUCAUAUCAUAGUAAAGCACAUGGCUCUGAGUCUGAUUCCCGUAAGUCUCCCAUUACAACGCACGGGCAUAUGUGUUAGUAUUAAUUAUAGUGAUAGGACUUGUCAUUAGUUUUUCUUAUUUGUGCAAUUACCGAUUUAUAUUUUCUUUUAAAUCUUCUUACUUAUAUCCUCUUUAACUACUAUCAUCAUAGCUUGUUUUUUCGUGUAUAUGUUUUGCUACUACAAAUUGUUUAGCGCACUACUAGGGAAAAUCUUAUACACAGAAUCUUAGCAAUAGCGUGGGUCAAAAAAAGUGCUACUACUAUUUACCACUAGCGACGGGCAAACAAACGCACUGCAGCUAAGUAUAUAGCAGUAGCGCUUCUCGGGAAAGAAGCGCUACUACUACAAUUCCCAUAAUGAUCUAGCAAGGCUACGAAUAGUAGUGGCGUGCUUAUGCAAAGCGAGCUGCUGCUAAGAUGGUUGUAGCAGCGUGCUUUACGCGAAAAGCGCUACUGCUAAUGAAAAUAAAAUAAAAUGAAAAAUAUAUAGAUAAGUAAAUGAAAAUGAAAGAAAUAGAAAAAGGGAAAGGAAAAAAAGAAAAUGCAAAGAAAAAUAAAUGAAAAAUAAAAAUAAAAGAGAAAGGCGUAGCAGCAGUGUGCUUUCAGGACAAGCGCUAUAGCUAACUUAGCAGUAGCGCGUUAUUCUAUCCCGCGCUAUAGCUAAGUUAGCUAUAGUUAAUAUAGCAGUAGCGCUUUUUCGGGCCCACGCUACUGCUAUUUUUGACUUAACCACGCGGUUCUUCUACCUCACGGACACUUCCCCCAAAUCCCCCCUUGAUCUGCUGUUGCCGCCGUCGUCGUCUUACAUCACCGUCGGUCACCGCGCGCUCUCUCGUCGCCCUCCGCACGCCCUCUGCUACCCUCGGUGGCCGCCGUUGUCGUCGCCCUACAUCGCCGCACUCCGCCGCGCGCCCGAGCCCUGACCCUGACCCCGACCAUGAUCCCGCGUGCUCCUCCCUCGGCCGCUCCCUAACUCUGCUAGCGCCCGAGGUGAGCACGCUUACACCUCCUCCUCCUCCUCCCGUACCUCUGCCUAGUUAGGGUUCCUAGGGUUCAUCAAAUUUUAGGGUUCAUCUUGAUAUGUCUCCAACGUAUCUAUAAUUUUUGAUUGCUCCAUGCUAUAUUAUCUACUGUUUUGGACAUUAUUAGGCUUUAUUAUACACUUUUAUAUUAUUUUUGUGACUAACCUAUUAACCGGAGGCCCAGCCCAGAAUUGCUGUUUUUUGCCUAUUUUAGGGUUUCGAAGUAAAGGAAUAUCAAACAGAGUCCAAACGGAAUAAAACCUUCGGGAACGUGAUUUUUGGAACGAACAAGAUCCAGGAGACUUGGACCCUACGUCAAGCAACCAACAGGGAGGCCACGAGGUAGGGGGCGCGCCUACCCCCCUCCAGGCGCGCCCUCCACCCUCGUGGGGCCCCUGUUGCUCCACCGACGUACUUCUUCCUCCUAUAUAUACCUACGUACCCCCAAACGAUCAGAUACGGAGCCAAAACCCUAAUUCCACUGCCGUAACUUUCUGUAUCCACGAGAUCCUAUCUUGGGGCCUAUUCCGGAGCUUCGCCGGAGGGGGCAUCGAUCAUGGAGGGCUUCUACAUCAACACCAUAGCCUCUCCGAUGAAGUGUGAGUAGUUUACCUCAGACCUACGGGUCCAUAGUUAUCAGCUAGAUGGCUUCUUCUCUCUUUUUGGGUCUCAAUACAAAGUUCUCCCCCUCUAGUGGCAAUCUAUUCGAUGUAAUCUUCUUUUGCGGUGUGUUUGUUCAAACCGAUGAAUUGUGGGUUUAUGAUCAAGUUUAUCUAUGAACUAUAAUUGAAUCUUCUCUAAAUUCUUUUAUGUAUGAUUGGUUAUCUUCGCAAGUCUCUUCGAAUUAUCAGUUUGGUUUGGCCUACUAGAUUGAUCUUUCUUGCAAUGGGAGAAGUGCUUAGCUUUGGGUUCAAUCUUGCGGUGUCCUUUCCCAGUGACAGUAGGGGCAGUAAGGCAUGUAUUGUAUUGUUGCCAUCAAGGAUAACAAGAUGGGGUUUUUAUCAUAUUGCAUGAAUUUAUCCCUCUACAUCAUGUCAUCUUUCUUAAGGCGUUACUCUGUUCUUAUGAACUUAAUACUCUAGAUGCAUGCUGGAUAGCGGUUGAUGUGUGGAGUAAUAGUAGUAGAUGCAGGCAGGAGUCGGUCUACUUGUCUUGGACGUGAUGCCUAUAUACAUGAUCAUACCUAGAUAUUCUCAUAACUAUGCUCGAUUCUGUCAAUUGCUCAACAGUAAUUUGUUCACCCACCGUAAAAUACCUAUGCUCUUGAGAGAAGCCACUAGUGAAACCUAUGGCCCCUGGGUCUAUCUUCAUCAUUUUAAAUCUUCCAAUACUUAGUUAUUUUCAUUGCCUUUUUAUUUUACUUUGCAUCUUUAUCAUAAAAAUACCAAAAAUAUUAUCUUAUCAUAUCCAUCAGAUCUCACUCUCGUAAGUGAACAUGUAGGGAUUGACUACCCCUUAUCGCGUUGGUUGCAAGGAUUUGUUGUGCAGGUGUGAGGGACUCGCGCGUAGCCUCCUACUGGAUUGAUACCUUGGUUCUCAAAAACUGAGGGAAAUACUUAUGCUACUUUGUUGCAUCACCCUUUCCUCUUCAAGGGAAAACCAACGCAGUACUCAAGAGGUAGCACAUGUCAUUAGUUAGGGUUCAUCAAAUUAGCUACUAUUUGUAGAUGCUUAAGUAGUUAUAUAGGACAUUAGUUUUACAUGCUUAAUUAGUUUUUAGGGAGUAGUUGUAGAUGCUUAAUUAGUUUUUAGGACAAAUUCCUAGGGUUCAUCAAUGGGUGCUUAAGUAGUUGUAGAUUCUUAAGUACCUAUCUAUUGUUCAUCUAAUUACUUAGUACUUGUAGAUGCUUAAGAACUAGGGCAGCAAGGCUAGAGUAGUAGGGUUUAACUAGGUGUCAAUUAGGGCAGUAGCGUUUAGUUUAGAGGGAAAAUCAAUAUAGUUUUUUUACUAUUUUUUAGUAAGUGUUUAAUAGAAUUAGUAAGAAAAUUAAUAGAACUAGUUGAACUAGUUUAUUUUUUGUAAGAACUACUUGAAUUAGUAGAACUAGUUUAUUUUUAGUAAGAAAAUUAAUAUAACUAGUUGAACUAGUUUUAUUUUUAGUAAGAACUAGUUUAUUUUUAUUUAUAGUAAGUGUUUAGUUGAAUUAAUAGAACUAGUUUAUUUUUAGUAAGAAAUUUAGGUAUAUGAGAUUUGAUGAUCUAAUUAAAAUUUUACUAUAGAACUAGUUUAUUUUUAGUAAGAAAAUUAAUAGAACUAGUUUAUUUUUAGGUGUAUUUAACAGUAUUCUAGGUUGAUUCAUUUUGAAGUGGACAUGUCAUAUUUUGAACAUGUUACAUUGUUGUUAUUUUAAGUUAAAGCAAUUAUUCUCGCACCGAUGUCGAUGAUGCCUAUCCCGCAUCCUUGUCGUCGACUCGGCGGAGGACACCUGCUUGAUCAAAGGGGCCAUGUCUGGGACUUGGAUCCGCCGGCUGGUACUGGGAGGUGCUACCUUCCGGGAGGCGCAGCUUGGUGAGGAGUCAGCCCGUCAUUGACCCGAACCUUCUUUGGUGGCGGUCGCGUGGGCUAGUUACGGUGCGGAGGCUUUUGUCCCCGCGGAGGUGGUACGUCACCGUGUCAGCGAGGAGGACGAGCACGUCCGUCGCUACAUGGUUGCGUUGGAGGGCAGGUUCUCCAAUACCUGGCAGGUUCUUCAAGGAUCUCACUAGAGCUAUGAUCCUGUGAUGGUUCCUUCUCUUUGGGUAUCCACCACCCGCGCUGAUACCCGUCGUUCGCUAGGGUUUUAGCUAUAUUAGUGAUAUUAUAUGUAUGAUACUAUUCGAGAUGUAUUAGUGAUAAUAUUCGACGAUGUACGGACGCGAGAGAUGAUUUAGUUUUGCUUAUUGAAUGCAUGUUAAUUUGAAUACUUAUUUAUUUUAUGAUUUGGUUUUGCUUAUUGAAUGCUCAAAUUGGAGAAGUACUCCUAUUUUGAAUGCUCAAAUUGGAGCCCACUAUGCAAGGCGUAUGCAUUUGAUUAGUUGAUGCUUAUAGGGUUUUUGUUUUUUGCAUAAAUCAAGGAGCCCCUCCAUCAUCCCGGCAAAUUUCAGGCGCCUGAUAUGUCCUUUUUUAGCGAACGUCAUGCCGGAUUUUUCCGUGAAUUUUGGCAUGACUUGUGCUAGAAUAUGUAGGAAAUAUCAAAUGGCCUAGAUUUUCUAAAAAGAUAAUUAAACGACAUUUCGGGUUGACUUUUAAGUCUGUCGAGGCUCCAUACAUCACAAUCAACAAAUGAGUGAGGGAGAAAGUCUGCACCAAAUAUGAGAGAAGAAGAAUCCCGACUGUUGUCGUGGGGGUCGUUUUUCCUUCUUCUCCUUGUGCUAGACCGUUGUUAUGCACUAGGGGAAGGAGGAAUAACGACCAUCACCGACGAUCGAAAAAUCAGUGAGGGAGUGUGUCCACCAUAUAUGAGAGAGGACGAAGAAUUCUGACUGUUGUCGCGGGGGUCGUUUCUUCUUCUUCUCCUUGUGCUAGACCUUUGUUAUGCACUAGGGGAAGGAGGAGUGACGACCAUCACCGACGGUCGCAAAUGUUAGAGAGGAAUCAGUGAGGGGGAGUCUCCACCAUAUAUGAGAGGACGAAGAAUCCCGACUGUUGUUGUGGGGGUCGCUUCUCCAUCGUUCCCGUGUGCUAGACAUUUUGGUGUAAUGCACUCGGGGACGAAGGGAGGAGCGACCAUCACCGACGGUCGAAUAUAUACACCACGUGAGUUCAGAGUUUUGAAGAAAAGACUCGGCAGACUGAUAGUCAAUCUGUGAUGAAUAAUAAUGAUCUAAUUUAGUUUUUGUGAUACAUAUAUUUAAUUGUACAAGUUUAAUCUUUGAGUUAUGAACAUAGGAAAUAUCGUCAUCGGACGACGAAAGUCUCCCGGGGGAGUGCGACUAGUGCAACGAUGAUCGAGGUCUGUGCGACAUGCCUCACCUGGACGAAGAUCGACGCUUCAACAUUAAGCUUCAGGAGACCUUCGAUGUUGAAACGGUACGCAAUGAUGACAAGUGGUUUUUUUCAUAAUUAAAUACGACUUUAACUAUUUUAACGUGUAAUUUUCAUCUUUUAUAAUUCGACUAGCUUAUCCCAUGCCAUGCAAGAUGCUAUGUCUUGGAGAGGAUGGAUUUUGAAGAUCAUGAAAGUAUGGAAACAAAGAAAAUUCACCUAAGGACUCAUCAUGGUAUGGUUUUGAAGUAAAUUUGUACAAUUCUGAGAGCGUAACCAAUUUUGGUUGCACGAAUUGGGAAGCACUUUGCAAGACGUAUGGUUUUUAUGAGGGUAUGCUUGUCACCGUGGAUCUUGGUGAUCCUGACAUCGCCCAAGGCAAUAUGGACAUUGGGUCCUUGUUGAUACGCUUCCAAUUCUACCGCUAUGUGAGUUUCUCAAACAUAGUUAUUAACUAAUCCCCCCUAGGGGCGUCAUUCUUGGAGGUACACACGUGAUCGAGGGACCAGAGGACGGAUUCUUUGGUAGAGGGAUGCGUCAUCUCACUCAUUGAUGGCAGCGGGUCUCGGAGGCAUGGCGCUGUGGUGACUCGUCAUCCGAUGCACCGAGAUGGACUCGCGCAAGUGGGUAAGGCGGUCUGGCAUCGUGGUGGCGUCGACGGCAGCUAGACCAGGAAAGGUAGAUGCAGCAGUACAACUCUGAAGAUGGAUUGAUGGUAGGUGGCUGCAGUGGCCUCAUACCCGGCAGGCGUCCUGGAUGGAACCUCAGGUCUUAGAUAUAAGGUUUGGCUGCGAGGUCUGUUUGGUAUUAGGCCCAGACUAUUAGCAUCCCUUCAUCAAUUGGAUAGGAGUAGCGACCAAUAUUGCAUAGACGGUGGCUUUAGUCUUACUGUUGUAUUACUAUGUAAGGUAUUGUGUGAACAAUUAAUAAAGCAGCUGCAUGCAUCGUCUAGAUGUAGAGGCCGGUGGUCUUCCUCCUUUUCUAAAAUAAAAAAAUUAUUAACUAAUUUAUAUUGUUUAUUUCAAAAUAGUUGACAGCUUAUUCCAUUGACAACUUAUUUUCAUUCUUUAAAGAAUGUGCGGAAGAUGGUAGACAUAGCCUACUACAUCGAUGGUUCAGAAUUAACUUAUCAGGAGAAAAAUCAUCUGAUCUCAUUUAUUACUAAUCUUGAGAAUUGCAAUAUCUAUUAUUAAACUCCUCCACAUUAUGGUCAAUACGUGUCACUAGUGCACGUGUUGAACUACGGUAACAUCCAUGGAGAUGCCAUGGUAAGAUUAUAACAUCAUUUUAUUUGGAGUUAGUGGUAAAAAACAUUAUUUUUCUAGCUUUGUACAAACAUUGCUCGCACACAUACUCAUCGCAAAAGAUCUUCCUAUUCUUCUUACCAACUUCAUGCAUGUCUUGUGUGCGGUUUAUAUAUGCUCUUGGAUUCUUUAUACUCUAGCACUUCUCUGUUAAUCUUGUCUCUGUCUUUGUUUACUUCUUACAGAUAUGAUUGCUGAAAUAAAAAACUUGAAGCUGUGAGUUAAAAUGGUAACCAGAAAUUUGUGACAUGUUACGUGUUUGUUGUUUUAAUGUAGUACUCUCUUCAUCAGGAAAUACUUGUCAUCAAAAUGAAUAAAAAAUGAUGUAUCUAAACGUGAUGAAAAGUAUUUGCAAACGGAGGAAGUAGAAUAUUUCAGAGUUUUUGAAAAAAUUAUCAUAGAUUUUCGGUGUGCGGCGAUGCACCAGUUGCAUAGGAUACGCACUCGCCUCAAAGGUUGUUGGCCACUCAUCAGUUUGGAUGGAAUCCAGCUGUAAUCUGUACUCCUGUAGGUCCUCGGCCUGCCUGACGAGCAGCAUGUGACCUUGAUGACCAUUCAUCGGCAAGGAAAUCCAGCCCGUGAAAUGGCCGCCCAGUCCACAUCCACCAGUUUCUACAUGUAAAUGGAAUGAAAUUAAUGGACUUGAAUGGCUACAGGGAAUGGGCCAGUACCGAGAUCGGGGGAGAUGACAACUGAGUCGGUGGGCAGCAAUUGAAUGCGGUGGGCACUGCGCUAGAUAAAAUAGAUGAUGCGGCAAACAAUAAAUGAAGAAAAAGAAACAUGUGGUACUAACAUAUCUAGGUACUACUAACGUCACACAUAUCAAGACAAUAUGAGUCUAUAAUUUAAUAAAUAAAGUGUUUCAUAUUACCGUAUAUAUGUUACUCUUCAGUAUAAAGGUAGUAAUCGUGAAAUGACUACUCCCCUACUGCUGUGUGCAGUAUGGUUGGCUGUAUAGGUGAGCAAUUAAAUUCAGAUGGAGACUACGUUUGUUAAUAAGCCCACAACUUGAACACCCACUAAUCUGCCGUCCGCCUAUAUAAACCCCACCAGGCGAGCACACUGUGCUUCUCACUGGUGCCCAUUCGUUUUGCUAGCUAGACAACACACAGUUCCACGUAGCAGCAGUAGGAUAGCUCGGUCCAGUACGUCGUCUCGGGUGAGCCAGAGCAGACCGAUGGCGCUCUCUCGUCGCAGGGCCCCUUCCGCCCUCCUCCUGCUGGUCCUCCUUGUGGCCACAGAUACGUCGCGCUGCCGAGCUCUACUGUAGGUUUGUUCCCUCGAUGAUGAUGCUCUGCUGACCGUGGUUUGGUUGAUGUGCAUGCAGAGAUGGGGGCGACGACGACCAAGGUGGCGGAGGCGCGGGACUGCGUGUCGCAGAGCCACAACUUCAAGGGCGCCUGCCUCAGCAGCAGCAACUGCGCCGCCGUCUGCCGCACCGAGAACUUCCCCCGGCGAGUGCCACACGCCGCACUUCGAGCGCAAGUGCUUCUGCGAGAGGCUCUGCUAGUCCGCCCGCUCGCCCCGUCCUGCCGAGACGUCCCAUGCAUGCUACUGUAGGUCAUCCGUGCCGUUAGCUCGUUCUGUUCCGUUCGCCAGUGCGUCCACGUUCGACCCUACUUGUUCGUGUGUCCCGCUAGGUAAAACUAAUAAAGUGGAAAAUCAAUCGGGGUCUCGAGUUUAGUUGGCUGUACGUGGUGUUGGUUGGCACCUGAUUUGUGUGUGGUGAACUGGUGAUGUAAUAAAUAUGGUCGUUGUUUCAGCAUGGAUGGACGUGUGCAAUCUCUCUCUCUCUCUCUC